rnacentral:lncRNA from 1 species
UUUUUUUUUUUUUUUUUGAUGAUUUUCUUCUUCUUUUAUGAACUAUGAUUGAUGAUGAAAGGACAAUCAAAACGAGUUAAGAUUGAAUUAUAUUAUUAAAUUAUAUUAUUAGUGAAAGAAUAGUUGAAUUGAGUGAGUUCCAAAUUAUUUCACGGCUUUUCACAAAAUUAUAUAAUUAGAUUCUAACAUUUGUCUGCAUUAUUAUAGUGUGUAAAAUUAAAGUGGAGCAAAGAAAGCAUAAUAAACAGAGACAGCUGAACAUUAGAAGGCAACACCCACCCCCCUAUACUGUGUCCCAGGAGCCACUAGAAGUCUGCAAGAAGCCAUUACUCACCAUCUUACCACCUCAAUAUUAUUGUUGUGGAGAUAAAUUUGUAGGGUUUCUUUCCUUUUUGUUGUUCCGGAUAAAGUGAGGAAACAAAGUUAUAGUCUCAUAUCACACGAAUGUGUGAGGAUAAUUUAAUUGUUGUAGAGUACUUGAGUAGCUUGUAUUUAAUCCUGUUGGACCACUGGUUCGUGCUCAUUAAAUUAAUGAAUCAUUUAUUUCAUCGGGUAGAAUUAUGAUGAAUGAUUACCAUAUACGAGUGAAAAAAAGGACUACCUAAACCCAUGGAAGGGGGGAGAAGUUGGUCAACAUGAGCUGGCCAUAACAUCAGGUCCCCUUCCUUCAGCUUCAUCGACAACAUGAUCCAUCAACCUUGAAUGCUGAAUCUGCAUGGACAAGUGACUCACUACAUCACUGACCCAAUUUGUCCCACACUUGAGAUGGCAAUUGAUCUGAGGAGCCCAACAUAAAAGAACUUGUUUUCCAACCAAACACACCUCUCUCUCUCUCUCUCUCUCAUUGUUCUUCUUCCUGCAGCUGGAUCUAAUUUAGUUGAUUCUUGUAGUGGUUAAAGGGACAGAAAUGGUGAGAGAGAGAGAGAGAGAGAGAGAGAGAGAGAGGGAGAUCAUCAUCAUCAUUUUACUGCAUGAAAUAUGAGUCAAAUGUCUGCCAAAUCCAUCUUUCCACAUCUCAAUGAGGACCACAUCCCUCAACCAUGAACAUGGCUGUCUACUUCAUAAUUAAAGCUAAGUUGAUUACAACACCUACAAGUCCAUCCAUUAUUUGUACUUGUUGGUCAAGUGUUGAUCUUUCAAGGAAAAUCCAUUUAGAAAAUAAUUUCCCUAAUUUUUCUUUGCUUCAUCUUUUUCCAUCUAUGUUUUAUGUUUUUAGACAGAGAAAAAGAGAGGGAGAGAGACCUAAUAAGCAGCCUGUUCUUUGUAAUUUAAGAUAUGAUCGUUCACAAUAGUCAUUUAGAUCACCAUCUACUUGUGGAAUGUAGACGACUGCACUCACUUGUUGUGCUAUUCUCUGCAAGGGAAGGAGAGGGACUUCCAUUGAUCCAACUACUGAGGCUCCAAGAUUCUGUCUUGGCAUUCAUGAUCAAGCCAAACUCCAGCUUGAUUUGGGAGUCUUUUCUCCUUCCCUGGCUGCCUCAUCCUCUCUUCCCUGUGACAUUUCCUUGCUUGUGAAUUGGAUGAGGAGGGUAAAACUUCCCUUGACAUGCAUAAUAACAGCAGCUACUUGCCAGUCAAAUCCUGCAAGUCUUUGAUCAUGUCAUCUGCCACUUCACACAAAUGUCCAUUGAUGGAUGCCUUUAUAUUGCCACUGACAGGUCUCGCAUGGUGGUGGUCCAUCUGCAUCUGCUCUGACUUGAACUAGUGAGACAUCGAUGCUCCCUUUCGCUCGCCUCUCGGCAGUAAUUCAAAGAUCCAUCCAAGGAGAGUGCUGUAGUUACCCUGCCGUUGACAAGCUAAUCUUCUUCCAGUUCGAGAUCCACAUGAUCGUUGUUUGGACCAACUCAUAAGACAAAAGAAACAGGGGAGAGGGAAAGGAGUAGCAGUGGCCCCAACCAUGGCAGAAGCCACUGUGUGCCUUCGAAGCAGCUUCAGUGAUCAGCUCAGCUUAGCUCUUGAAGUCAAAGCAGCUCGAGCUUUUCCUGAAUUGGUCAACAUACGGAGCACCAUAUUUCUGUGCCAUGGCAAUUUGCCCGUGAUACAUUUGCACACAGAGCGAGAGAGAGAGAGAGAGAGUUCCAUUUCAACACAGCCUACCCAACUCCAAGUCUACACAGUCUCGGCUCCUUCGGUCAUUCCCUCUCGUCACCCAAAUCCAAAUCCAUCGCCAACAAACACCAACACAAUCUCUACUUUUAAUCCCUCCUCUUCUCACUCUCAUCCAGAUUGCCACACCACACUGCACCCGUCAGCAGAAGAUUAGAUUUUUCUUCUUCUUUAGGCACAUCCAUCAAAUGGAGCUGCAAUCUCCUGAUCCUUCCUCCCCCAACUCCACCUCCAGCAGCAGCAGCAGCAAUGGAGUGGCCACUGCAGCAGCCCCUUCAUCCGCACCUCUCACUCCCAAGUCCAUACCCAGAUCCAUCGACGCCAAUCCUUCCCCCACCACCUUCGUCCAGGCCGACGCCGGUUCCUUCAAACAGGUAGUCCAGAUGCUGACGGGCUCCGUCGAGACCACCGCCAAGCACGUGGGCGGCACCGUGGCGUCGCCCACAAGGAGCGGGAUCCCGCCCGCCGCUAAGGCCACCGGCCCCAAGAAGCCGGCUUUCAAGCUCUACGAGCGCCGCGGCAGCCUCAAGAACCUCAAGAUGAUAUGUUCUGACCCGAACUCGCCGUUGGGCAGGGCCGCCUUCCCCCCCCGGAGGCAGCCGGAGAUCCUCUCCCCGAGCACGCUGGACCUGCCGUCGUUGACCCUUAGCCCGGUCACGCCGCUGAUCCCUGAUCCUUUCAACCAUUCGGCGGCCGCAGCGGCAGCGUCGUCGGCGGAGGACCGGGCGAUCGCCGAGAAGGGGUUCUACCUCCACCCUUCGCCGAGGACCACGACAGGGGCCGCGGAGCCGCCAAGGCUGCUGCCGCUCUUCCCGGUGACAUCGCCGAGGAUGCCGUCCGCAUCUUCCACCUGAGAUGGCUCAAUUGUACACCUCGGGGGCUCUACCACCAAGCAAACCAAAUCAACGAAGCAUGGACGAACCAUCUCCGUUAUGUUCCCCUUCAGUCUUACUUGUCUCUGAGUGGUCUCUCCUUCAUCAAGAUCAUCUUUUUCUAUCCAUUUCUUGGCUAUCUGAUGCUUCUGAGUCGACAACUGCGAAAAUUCUCUUCCCUGGCGCAUACUGUGAUUGAUUUGUGUCAGAUUUUUCCUUAGUAGAUUACUGUUUCUCGAGAAACCACAUGGAGAUCAUCCCAUGCAAGAUCCAAGAAAGCAAAAGCUAGCUGCUUUGGACUUCCACUUGCCGAUGACCAACACAAACAAGACGCAAAUGAUUGGUUCCUUCGAUUCACGACUUGUGUGAGCCAUGUCCAAACUCUAAAUAAUGAAUGCUAUACGGUGUUUGCGAGAGUCAGAGAGACCGUGAGGUGAGAGCAGAGGCGGGUAGAAUUGCGUCAUGAUAUAUAUAUAUAUAUAUAUAAUGAGAACAAAAACAGUGUUCCCCACUUGUUGAUUGGCUCGAGUGUGAAUUAAAAAGGACUCUCUCAUUAUAAGACUUGAGCUUGGGGUUGGGGUUCAGUGAGAAGGAUGGAAUGCAGAGAAAUGGUGUUUACUGGGAGUAACCGCAGUAAUAAACAUGCUAAAUAGCCAAGAUUAUUGGUACUAAUCAUGCAAAGUUCAUCCCUGUCCAAACAAAACAUACGUUUACAAUAUAGGAAUUUUGGUUUACUGAUGGUUCAGUUCUUUCAUCAGAUCAAAUCAUGACAAUAGCACACACAUCCAAUCUUCCCUUCCAUGGAUGAGGUCCUCAUCUUCCAUGCUGUCCCACCCAAACAUAGUGGUUUCUGCUGAGAUAAGAUACUUGCCUUUUGGGACGUUGUGGAGAAUUCCUUCCGGUUGUAUUGUAACCUUCACUAAAGCCAGAGAAGGAAAAGGAAGAAGAAGAAGAAGAAGAAGGAAGUUGACCAGGUCUCAUCUGUAUCUGCUUAAUUGACUUGAGAUGCAGUACAUGGAGAGUGAAAUUACAGUCUCUCUCUGCAUCUGGAUAUUUAUUAGCUCAUUAUUAUGCAUAUAACAGGAAGGAAGUCAGCAUCUGGUGAAGUUUCUUCUUCUUCGGUGACAUGUUGCUGCUAAAUGACAAAAGGUAAAAAAAAAAAAUAAGAGUCAUAUUACUAGGAUUUGGCAUUUCUUUUAAACCCCAUAUAUUGAUUGAUUCCUUAAACAAAGUUUCUUUGCCAACCUCACAAUCGACCUCAAACAUUAUGAUGUCGGCCAUCUCGAAUGAUGUUCUCUUACUCUGAAAAGGAUCCAAGUGAUGUUCUUCAUUCUUUUCAUGUUCUAACAUUUUCAACCUUUUUAUGCAAUCAUCAAAUCUGCUUAAACUUGCUGUUAGGUUUUGUAUCACAAAAUGAAAACUCCGCCACAAUCGAAAGAUCAGGAUAGAUCUUUGAUCUUUCAAGUUGCAAGGGCAUUCCUAUCCUUUCCUCUUCUCUGUCAUAUCGAGGUAUCUUUUGUUGGCAAUCAUCUCUAUCUAUCUAUCUAUCUAUCUAUCUAUACUGGUGGCAUUUCAAAAACCUGGACCUCCUCUCUGUACCCAUGAUCAAGACAGUCAUAAGAACAGUUCAACCCUGAGGCACCUCUGUUAGUUAGAUUGCUCUCCAUUUCAUCAUACUUGUACCAAAGAGUACCAGUGUAGAUUCUUUUAGGCAAUGCAUAAAUUGGAACCGAUCAAUUCAUUCAUUGGCAAUGUCACCAAAAAGAAUAAAGAAAAACAAUCUUUCAGAAAUAUGUAUAUAUAAAAAAAAUAUUAUUCUGACCCUUUGUGUUGCUAAUGGGCACAAGAAUAUGUUCUUCCUACAAAGCUUUUAAUCCAUGAGCUGACUUUAAAAGGAGAAAGAUGUGAUGCCAAUGCUUUUGAUUGUAGUUGUAAUGUGGAUCAAUAGUGCGCCCGGCCAGUCAUACCCAUCUGAAAGAAGCAGCAUAAUUUGUAUUCCAUAUAAAUUAGGGUGAAUAUAGUCAGUCCUUCGUCCAAACUUUGGACAUCAAAAUAUCAUAAGAAUCCCCAUCAUAAAACUCCCAAUAUCACUAGAUUCUCGGUUCUUGCCGGACCGGUAAAUACUAGUAGGUAAGUACGUGAUAAAAUUGCACUCUUUUGACAGUGGUAUAUCAUCCGAUUAGGAUAGGGAGGGGAAGUCUAAACACAGAUGUAAUCAAAACAACAAAUGAUGCUGCCUUAUCCCAUCCUCCUUCAAUAAAGAGGAACCUUUCACUAAUAUUUCUGAAGUUUAAAUUUGCAGACUCGUUUGGUUUCUGUUCAUUCAUCGUAGCUGAGCGAGCAUAUCGGUGAGGAAGUUGGGUCUUACAGUGCAAUCAAUCCUUUGGGUUGAUUGGUGAAGGAGGAAGCAGCAGCAGCAGCAGCAUAUAUGAAUGACACAACCAGAUUAAUACUAAUAAUAUUUCAUUGACUAGGAUAGAUAGGAGAGUUGUAACACAGGACAGAGAUAACACAGAUGAUACUGCGUUAUCCCAUCUUACAACCUAUCAGCCUGCCCGAAUUAUUAGAGUACAUAGCCACACCUUCUUCUUCCGUUUUUUUUGUUCUUUUGUUUUUUAUGCAUUGCAAACUUUUAUUUAGUGGUAGUGACAAGUGCUUCUCAGUUGCCACACUUGCAGUCGGUGCAGGCGCAGGCGGCGCCGCACUUGCACUUGCCGUCAUGCUCGGCAGCUUCUGCGGCAACGAUCACCUCGUCGACGUAGCUGAAGAGACGAAAUGAAUACGGAAGAAGCAUUAGGUAAGGUGAUAAGGUGUAAUCCUAAUUAGUUUGAUCAUCCUCGAAGAGGAGGAGGGAGAAGAAGCUAAUCAGUACCUCUUCUCGGUCUCAACAAUAUCGAUACCGUAGCUGUUUCCCUUCUUCCUGCAAAGGCAAAACCAAGUUCCUCAGCCAACGUUGACCUUCUACACAUACAUAUAGUAUUGCUGAUGUUCCCUAAUAAAGCUCUGAGUUUUGACGAGCGAUGUGGGAAGAGUCGACUCAUCAAACACAAACGGGGCGAGGUUAGAAGAAGAAGAGGUGGAGGGAUGGAGGAUGACUUACACGCACUGGCUCUUGUCAACGCAGUCGCAGUUGCCGCAGGUCGACAUGGUUAGACGAGGAAGGAAGGCGAAAAGGCUCGAAGAAAGCAGAGGUUGUAGUGUGAGAAUGGUAUGGUGUGUUCUUGGAGAGAAAAGGGGCUUGUUUCGUGCUUAUUUAUAGGCGCUCCUCUCACACACGCAAAGAGAAAGAAUGAAAGAGGGGGGAUGGGCAUUUACUCGUUCGUCUGUGCAGUCCACACGCCACCGGGAUAGGCCGUCUCGGGAAUCUUAGACGUGCGUGGUGGGGGAGGAGAAGACUUGGCAUCGUCCGCUCACGUCCUUGUCUUCGUCUCGUCCCCGCCACAGAGAUCGCAGGCGGCUGACACACGCAAGCUCGCAUCCUUCCAUCUUAUCAUCCGGAGCAUCAUCACUGUAAAAGAUACGAGUAUACUUUUAUUGGAAAUCUCUAGAAAUUUAAAAGCUACUUUCGAUCCUUAAUUCAAUGAGCGUUUACUGUGAACAAUUGGUGGGUUUUUGCGGAUAUGGCCGUCGAUUCCUAUUCUUGUGAGAGAAAUGGUUAGAAUCUAAUAAAUAAAUAAAUAUAUAUAUAUAUAUAUUUAAUAUUAUAUUAGAUCCUUCCCUAACGAAUUAAAAGAAAUAUUUAUUCAUCUGUCAAAGGGAGAGAUUUUUUAGAACCUAAUAUAUGAAAUUAAUUAGAAGCCGAUGUCAAAUUUGGUGGAUAGAAUGUGAAUCGUUAGAGUGAGUAGAUGAUUAUGAUAUAUUUUUUAUUUUAAUAUUUUUAAUCCAUGAUUCUCUCAUAGUGACCAAAUCAAUUCAAUGUGCAUCCUAAAUUUUUGUUGUAUUUUUCUUGGAGAUGGAGCAAGUCAAGCCAAUAUUGGGGUUGGAUUUUAAAUGAGGUUUUCGGUCUAAUUAGAUCCAAACCCAUGGAGAUGAUGAUGAUGAUGAUAAUAAUGUAAAUCCUACCCAUUACUUCAAUGAUAGAUCUCAUGUUCGGAUCCAUACAGAAAUGUCUUAUGUGCAAUUUAAUGUAACAGAAGAAGAUUAAUGUAAGAAAGAAAAACAGCAAUUUGCAUGGCUUUCAAUUAAUUCCUGCGAGAAAUAGUGCCAACUACAAACCCAUAUAUUCCCACUCUACGGUAGGGAACGGACAUUGCAGGAGCAGGUCGUCGUUGUCAUCAUGCUCGAAAAAGUCGAUCGUCACUGUCGCCUGACCUUUCGAUCUUUACUGGAACAACAACAGCCUAGUGUUGCGGGCUUCCCUUAUCUACGUUGCUAUGUGGAUCUCACAUCCCAUGGCUGCUCGCUGUGGAGGAGUCCAUAUCAUCAUGACCCAGUGGGCGUCCGAUGUGAUUUCAGGCCCUCAUCCUACAGUGAUUUCAGGAAAAAGAACAUUAUCGCCAGAUUUAUCUGCUCAAAGAUGGACACAGUUUGGCCAAGAUAAACAUAGCAAUUCAGCAUUACAACCAUUUUUAAAGACACACAGAGGGAGAGAGAGAUUGAGAGAAGAGAUCAAAGCUUCGUAGUGCUACUUCAGAAUUCCAGAGAGUGGAAGUUCGUUUAGUGAGACAACCAAAGGAACAAUCCUGGAUUGCCAGAAUUGGAAGAGUCAUGGGUGAUUUAUAUUGAGUUUGCCAUUAAACCUAAUUAGCUUAAGCUAUUGGUUGCAUGGUGUCCAAUCUCAUGUAUAUUGAUCAUGACUAGCUUAAGUUCGAUUUAUUUGAUCCAAUAAACAAGAGAAAGAAAGAGACAGAGAAUUGAUGGGCACGAUAGCCACCUUCUUAUUAUCUCGAGAUCGUAAGAACGAGAAUGCAGGUGGAAGCUAUUGUUGCAGUAGUAACUUGGUCAAAAUAUCUUUCAAAACAAGGGAGACAUCAUAUGGUUGCUAAAGAAGGAUCAUGAACUGAAGAAAUAGACCUUUGUUAAAGAGCUAAGUAAUGGCGAGAGAGAGAGAGAGAGAGAUCAUUGGAAGGCACCUUUUUUGUGUUGCUGGUGUGAACUCAUCUAAGCUUGUGCCUCCUCCCUUGAAUUGAUGGUGUCAAUUCCUGCAUCUCGGAGGAGAGAACUAUCAACUCAUCCUUUGGGGACCAAAUAAGUGUCAGUCUCUAUAUAUUGUCAGGCAAGCAUACUUUAUGAGGAACAGCUUGGCCUGCAUCUCUGUAGACAAUGCCACAAACAACUCUUAGAACUGGUUAGAUAAACUAUUGCAUGUCAACUAAAAUAAUCCGAAUAUGCAAAAUUGUGUUCAGAUUGACUCAUUAAAAGCAAAAAAAAUUGAAUAUAAAACUUGAUCCAGAACUCCAGCUUAAAUUGAAGCCAUCAGAUUGAAUCUGACAAAGUUCCUUUGGUCACAAAAGAAAAAGAUAAAGAAAAAUGAAAAAUCAUCAAAACGUCACAUGUAAGAAAGAAAUGUGUUUUGCUAACAAAAGAUUCUCAUGCAUCUGUGAUCUGGCGCAGAGAUAUAAGCUAAUGACAGCAUGUAAAAUAUCCUUCAGUAUAUCAUAGAAAUGGUUGAGAUCAAUUUGCCCUUUCUCAGAACAAAUAGCCUCAGCACUUUUCCAGAACAAACAAAUAUAUGACAUGUACUAAAUGCUAAGAUAAAGACUUGAUCUACAAUAAAACACGGUAUAACCAUAAUACAGAGAGAUUGGAUGGGAUGCAACCAUUUUUCACUCUGAUGAUGGUAACUUACAUCAUUCAGCUCUUAUACUGCAAAGUCAAGAUCAUGUUCAACAAAUGCAUUGAGCACUUGCAGGUUGUGCAGAAAGGUCUUGUGAGUUAAAAGGUCAAAAAGGAAAUCAUCGUUCAUAGUUUCAGAUUGGUUGUAAAUGUUCAGUAGUAAUUUGGCUGUGUAGAAAAAAAUUCUUCUCUUAACCUAUAUUUAUACUGGUAAAUGAUUCCAUCAGAAGAUAAUUUUAUACUUUUAAUGAUAACCAUGAAAACUUUUGAAAAGCAUAAUAUUGUUAGUUGUAAGUUUCUGAAGUAAAUAGAUUAUGAAAACUAGGAAAACAAACAUGUAAAAAUCUAAGAGAAAUCAUGUCAAAUGUGAAAUCCUAUUAUUCAUUUCUCAAUUAAGUAUAUAUUGAUGCAUCUGUCUAUUCUACAUUUCAUAAUUGUUAUUCUAAGAUAAACUAUACAAGGUAAACUAUAUAUCAUUAAAGAUUAACAUCUUUCCUGUUCAAUUUCGGAACAUUCUAGGUAACAGAGAAUGCAUCACACAUACCAAGAUACUCCAUCAAGCUCACCUCGCUUGCCAUUCCAAUUACCAGCAUAUUCUUACCUGACGACAUGAUCAACAUACCACAGCUAACAUUAUUCAGCAUACAAUUUCUUUAAAAUGCUAUUGUACAACAAACAAAAGAGGUUACAUAACGAAUAGGUCACAGAGAGUGAAAUUGCAAUGGGCAUCUUUGGGGUCAAAGAAACAACGGGAGAAACAUACAGGUCAUUUUCAUUUUAGCAUUGAAUGUGUAAGUGUGAUUCUUGACUGGUAUUCUCUAACACUGCUUUCUUCUUUUCUUUUUCUUCCCUUCUUUUUUUCUACUUGGUGAAAUUAGGGAGGAAUUUAUACAGAGGAAGAGAAUAGAACCUUCGUCGGAAGCCAUUUCAGGAGGACCAACAAUGUCAGUGAAAAUCAAAUUUGAAACGUGCAGUCCAAUAGCUACAUACUCUAAACAUGACAGAAUUGUCAAGCCACAAUAGUUUACAAGAACAUGGAGCCCUGCAGGACAAGCAUACUGACUGUGACCAGAGAAUGUAGGACAAGCCACAAUAGUCAAGAGCCAUCUAUUAUAGAAAUCACUAUCUUUAGAUAGAAUAAUGUAUGUUUUGAAACAGCUGUUUAAUAUGUUCAAAUGGUACUAAGAAUCUAGGCAAAAGAAAAUUAUAAUGGACUUGACUUACCUGUCCAUAUCAUCAAGAAUUAUGAUUCUUAGUUGAGAUCUUUGUAAGUAUCCCCAAAAAUCUGUGUCAGACAAGACUUAGUUACAGCACUAAAAAGAGACCACUACGACUGAACUAACUAGAUCAGGUGGCAGCUGCAAAUAAGUAGGCUAGAAAGUCAGAUUCAAAAGAAUCCAGAACCAAAACAACAUUAAUUCUUCCGGGGAAGAUAUAACUUAUGGAGAAGGAUAUAUAUAUAUAGAUUAAAUGUUAUCUCAUAAUCAAUUCAUUGACUUGAACAUUUUCAGUGAGAUAGUUCUACUAGCAUAAUAAUAGGAAUCUUGACAAUUUGUGCAGGUUUACUUGCAUCACUUAGACCAAGCAUUGUUUCUGCAGAGAUCUAUAUCAUGAAAGGUGUCGAUCAUUAGACGGAUGAAGACGCCAAGUUAUUCUGAUCAUCACAAAUGCAAGAACAAGUUAGGAACUUGACAAAUGGAAAGUCAGUUUCAAUACCAAUUGUUGCCGUCAUUGCAGUUUUGCCACUGAUAACAAAGAAAUAUCAUGAAUCAACACUGCUAAGAAGUAGGAUUUUUAUCAUUUAGAAAACAGGUUGUCGACUUACCUGCACUUGGCCCUUCCAGAAGGCAUGUAACAAGUGGAUUACCCUGGCUUACUUUGACUUGUUCCACGACAAGCAUAGCUCUUUCAUGGAUGAGAAUGUGUCUCUUGCCACAUUCAACAAUCCCAUUAAGCCUGCACAUCAUUACACACUUAAUUUAGUACUAUACUACCAAGACAAAAUAGAGAUUCAAUUCUUGUCUAACAGAUGACAGAUAGCAACCAUAAGAUGGUAAAAAGAGAUGGAUAACUCAUUUUAAUGAUAUAGGAAUUGCAAAGACCAUCAUGCAUCAGUAAAGAAGUCCAAGAAUGCUCAAGCUUCAUUUCAUAUUAGUAUUGUAGUAAUUAAAGGCUUUUGAGAAGCAUAAGAAACAUUAUUUCAAAUGAAUCAGAUUCUUCAAAGUAUCAAGAAACAUGAAUGAUGGUUCUUAACAGCUCAGCAAGGUCUUGCAACAUGGUUUUCUGACGUUAUCUUUUCAUAUUUAUCACACAUUAUUCAAAAUCCAAAAUAAGGAGCAAAGAAAAGCUUCCAUCAACUACACAAUAUAGCAAAAUAGCAAGUGAUAACAGUCACGAAAGCAAAUAUGUCAGGCAUUUAGGAAGUAAUAAUUUUAUCUGUUGAGAAUAACAGAGGUGCUGACUCCCACUAUUAAUUUUUCAAGAUUCUGCAGCAACAUGAUAUACGAGCCAAAACAACCAAAUAGUAGAGUAGAAAGGUUAAAUAAGAACAUUGAAUGUGGGACCCAUGAUUUAAAAAGCGCUAGAUGCCAAGGUCCUAAAAUGCCCGAGGUGCUAGGUGCUUGUUCGAGCGAAGCGAGACGCUCUAAAAUAUUAAAUAUAAAAUAAUUGAUAAAUAUGAUUAUAUAAAUAAAAAUAUGAUAUUAAAUUACUAUUAACAAUAGUUAGAGGGGAAAAAAGAAUUGUUAAGCGGGAGAGAAAAACUCACUGACUGUGGAACUUUUGGACGAUAGUGACAAUGGCGGCGAAGGAAGCUACGGACGACAACAGCGGUAGCAACGGAAGCUACGGAUGGCACGUCGUGGGCGGAAGAAGUUUCAGAGGUGUCCGUUAAUGGCAGAGGAAGCUGCAAUCCUCUCCCUCAAUGGUGGAAGGAGCUGCACAUGAAAGCAACGAUGGCGAAUGGAAGCUACGGAUGAAUGCUACGCCGUCGAACCCGUCUGUCGACAAUAGAGGAAGCCUCAGCCCUUGAGGCAAUAAUAAAAUGUGUCGGCGACAAAGGCAAACACUAUGCUAUGGUUGAUGGCUCGGACUUGCACGGGAGUACGAGGGGUGGCUUUUGCGGGGAAGAAAAUAGCUACUCGGUUCAAUUGAACCAACUAGCCACCUUGGUUUAAUUGCUUCAUUUGAACCGAUCGCUCGACGCUUGGGUUUAGGAGCGCGCACAAGCAACGCCUCACUAAAGUGCAUUGCCUGGUGGCUCGCCCAAGCGGCGCCUCACUGAAGCACACCGCCUAGCCCAUCAUUGAGGCACUUGGGCCUCGCCUCGUUCGUGCACCUAGGCAAGCGCCUAGGCGCCUAUUUAAACCACUGUGGGACAUAAAUCACAAAAGACAUUACAGAAAGAAAUCUUAAAAUCUUAUUGACACAAGUGGUUGUUCAUGCGCUUAUCCGAUAAGCUUAUUUGAAUAUGAUGCAAGAGUCAUUAGUAUCUACAAAAGCUUAUUUGUGUCAUUAAUGUAAUAAAGUAGGAUGGUCAAAAUGGAAAAGUAUUUGGAAUGUUGCAUGGCUUUCAUGUGCUAAUGAACAAACAACAAGGGGUAGUCAUAAUCAAUGUAAAAUGACACAACCACAAUUCCAUAUGAACACACUCAUCUAUAUACACUUUUAUGUUGGACAAGUUCUUUCAUCAUUUCCCAAGUUCACUACUAAAGGACUUAAUAACUCAAUGGCACAUUAAAAUCAUAUAACAUUCCAAAUACUUCUAUCCAUUUUGACUGUCCUAAUUUAGUGCAUUAACAACACAAAUAACAUCCUCUUUAAUAUUGUCAUCCCAUCAAAUAAUAUCUAGAUAUCAGAAUUUAUUAUGGCUUCAAGUUUCUUAUUCAUCUAUUUCAACAAUGUCUUCACAAUUUCUUUUAAUGUAGUUAGUGUUAUGACACACAUGAUUAACCUCAACAUGCAUAAUGUAAAAACUUUUGCUACUAAAAGUUGUCUCCAUUGUUCUAUACCUGAUCCUUCUUCUCACGAACACAGCAUACAAAAUGAUGAUCUAGAUCCAAUGUAAACAUAAAUCUUUGGGAAUAGCAACUACUGCAAUACAUAUACAAACAUGCUAGCAUACCAGAUGAAGAUAGUGAUAUCAAGCAGAAACACAUCUAACCAGUCAACCUCACUGUCGACAGCAGCACCUCCUGCACCCUCUUUGUCAGCAUCCGCUUCCUUGCUGUCUUCAGCAGCACCUCCUGCACCCUCUUUGUCAGCAUCCGCUUCCUUGCUGUCUUCAGCAGCACCUCCUGCACCCUCUUUGUCAGCCUCCGCUUCCUUGCUGUCUUCAGCAGCACCUCCUGCAACCUCUUUGUCAGCCUCCGCUUCCUGCAUUAUCCUCCAGUAUCCUUGAUUGCCCCAUUAUUGCAUGUGUCCUCCUUGCAGCCUCUUAAGGAGAGGGCCUUUGUCUGGGACAUGACGAGGCCAGUGGUGUCUUCAUCACCAUGAUGCUAUCAUGAAUAAAUAUGACGUGUUAGAUAUCAUAGUCAGACAUUCAAAUAAAUGAACCAUCAUGCCGAUUCAUCCUUAUAUCAUCAUGGAAGAUGACAUUUACAUAAAAAAGACUUACCAAAUUAGCAGCACAAUUGGACAUCAUCCAGAGUCGGAAUAUACUAUUCAGGAACUUUACACGAUGAAAGUUAUAAUAACAUUUUCACAACAGAACAGCAGCGGCAGUACAACACAUAAGAUGGCAUUCUUAUUAUAUUUUCAGUGUACAGUGGAUAAACCCCAACUUGGCAAAAAAGAAAAAAGCAACUAAAACAAUAUUCCAUUUAUUUUGGCCUCCGGAAAAGACCAUUCCUUGGCAUCCAACAACUACUCAUUCCAACUCUUCAUCCACAUCAUUGUCAGUCUCAUUACACAAUACCUUCAAUUUUUUAACAGCCUGAGCAGCAUCAGUUUUGGCUGCACCAUUGGCAAUCUCAAUAAGGAUAUCAGACUUCCGCCCUGUGGCCGCAUCAACAAGCCCCCCAUUCCUCUCAACCCUAUAUGAUAGCUCGUUCCUCCCAAGGGCUGCAUCAAUGUAUACAGUGGUGUUCUCAUCAAUCUCACCCUGUAUGAGCAUCCUGGAUAGGUGGGUCACAACCUUCUUCUCCAACCAUCUCCUGAUUGGUCUUGCACCAUACACCUGGAAACUCAAAUAUGUGUUAUUCAAUCACUCUUACGUCCUAUUAACAGCAAAAUCAAAAGAGAAAAGAGAUGAUGAACCUAUACUUACAGGAUCAUAGGAUUCAGAUAAGACUAUGUCCAAAGCAGCAUCUGUCACAGCCAAAGCAAUGCCCCUCUGAGCAAGGCGGAGCGCAACAUCCUUCAUUUGGAGCCUGGCCACCUUUCUGAGCUGAUCAUGUGACAAUGGAUCGAAGACUACUAUCUCAUCUAGUCGGUUAAGCAUCUCAGGCCUAAAAUGCCUUCUCACCUGCAUAAUUGACAUAUACACUAGUUAACCAUUCAAAGUCUAACAUUAUGAUCACUGAUCAGGGCAUGAGAUCAGAAAAGGGUAGUCCGGAUAAAGUACUUCUAGCAGAACUUGUUCACGAGCAAUCUUCAUCGAAGAUUCCCCUGCCAUUCCAGCAAGGAGGUGCUCAGCGCCAAGAUUAGAAGUCAUGAUAAUGACAGUGUUCGUGAAGUCGACAGUCCUCCCUUGGCCAUCAGUUAAUCUGCCAUCAUCAAGAACUUGAAGGAGCGUAUUGAAGACGGCAACAUGAGCCUUCUCUACUUCAUCAAAGAGGAUGACACUGUAUGGCCUCCGCCUCACUGCCUCGGUGAGUUGUCCACCUUCCUCGUGCCCCACAUACCUAAAAAAUCAAAUACUAAGCAAUGACAUUUGUAAGGUACAACCCUAGAACCCAGUAGACAAUCCUGAGAAGCUUUACUCACCCUGGUGGAGCGCCAAUUAGGCGUGCCACUGAAUGCUGCUCCAUGUACUCUGACAUGUCAAUGCGGAUGAGAAGAUUCUCAUCAUCAAAUAGUUGCUCUGCAAGUGCUUUGGCAAGUUCUGUUUUACCAACACCAGUCGGACCCAAAAAGAGGAAUGAGCCAGUUGGCUGCAGAGGCCGACCUAGACCGGCUCUAGACCGAAGCACUGCAUCUGCUACUGCAUCAACUGCUUGAUUCUGGCCAACAACUCUCUUGUGUAACCUCUCAGCAAGGCCAAUUAACCUGUCUUUCUCAUUCUGACCGAGCCUUGUCACUGGAAUUCCUGUCCACCGGCUCACAACCUAACCAGGACAUCAAACUUUUAGUAACAAGAUUGGUGAACAACUAAAUCCUGAAGAUUAUGUUGAUGUUGGACCCACACCUCUGCAAUGUGCUCGGGCCCAACAGUCUCUGUCAACAUCAAGUUCUCAUUGGUACCCCCCUCAAGCGUUGCAAUAGAAGCAUCUAUUUCUUGCAAGGCACCAUACUUGAGAUCAGCAACACGAGCCAGAUCCAUCCUCCGCUCAGCCUCCUUUAGAGUAAACAUUAGCUCUUCACGGCGCUGCUUCAACCUGCGAAUCUCAUCAAUUCCCUCCUUCUCCUUCCUGUACUUCAUCAUCAGUGGUUGCAGCUUAUCCCUUAAAUCAUCCAAUUCCUUCCUAACCUGAAGGAAACACAUUGCACAACGUCAUCAGAACUCAGAACAGACAACAUAUAGGAUAACAUAUAAGAUAAAAAGAUCUUAGGCAACAGACACCCACCUCAAUAAGCCUUGCUUUACUAGCUUUGUCCUUCUCCUUCUCAAGAGCAUGCAAUUCCACUUCCAACUGAAUCCUUUUCCUCUCCAGGUUAUCAAUCUCCUCUGGCUGACUAUCAAGCUGUACCCUUACAUUUGCACAAGCCUCAUCAACCAAGUCAAUUGCCUUGUCAGGAAGGUGACGGCCUGUUGAAAAAUGAGAACAACACAAUUCUCAGAACACAAAUCAGAACAAGAACAGAUCAUACAGGGAAAAAUUCCUGCUACGCCUAUGACAUUUAAUAUCUAUACUAUGAAAUAACUGGUUUAUGUAGAAAACCAAAUAAGUUCUUUUGCUGGGCCAAACACCCAAUAGGUUCAGAAAUGUAACCAUACUAGCAGUUAAUUUGGCCUUUGCUCUAAUGAAUUAGAUCAUUACAACUAUUUGUAAAUAAACAGCAUUGUUAGAACAUUGAAACUAUUUGUAAAUAAACAAACUAAAAAGGGCAUAUCCGGUGUACAAGGCUCUCGCAGAGGGUCAAUGUACGUAGCUUUAUAAAGAGAAUGUUUCCGUGAUUUGAACCCUCCCUGAUCUCCAAGGUGUACCAAGGCUCGCCCUCUAAAAUUAUUAACAUUUUGUGGCUGCUGGGAUUUAAGCCCAGGUCUCUACGGUCACAAAGUAGAAUUCUAACCACUAAACUACAGCCACGUUGGUGAAAUCAUUUGUAUAUACAAAAACCUAAAUUUAGUUCUUUAUGGCUGCUUCAUAUGCACAAUCAAGUCAGAAACAUGACGGUACAGUAGCUACACUCACCAUUAGUUGUCCUGAAAGCUUAGAGGAAAAGCUUGAAAACGUACCGGUAAUAUAGCGGCUUGAGAGCUGAGCAGCGACCACAAGAGCACGGUCCUGGAUUCGAACACCAUGAUGUCCUUCAUACUUCUCCUUGAGUCCCCGAAGGAUGCUUAUGGUGUCAGCAAUGCUGGGCUCUGCCACGUAUACCUGCUGGAACCGCCGCUCAAAGGCGGCAUCUUUCUCGACGUACUUCCUGUACUCCUCCAACGUCGUUGCUCCAAUGCACCGCAACUGCCCUCUCGCAAGCAUCGGCUUGAGGAGGUUGGCAGCGUCCAUGGAGCCCUCGGUGCGUCCUGCGCCAAGAACGAGGUGGAUUUCAUCGAUGAAGAGGAUGACCUUGCCAUCGGCCUCCUCCACCUCCUUAAGCACAGCCUUGAGGCGCUCCUCGAACUCGCCACGGUACUUGGCCCCGGCGAUGAGUGCACCCAUGUCGAGCGCCACGAGGCGGACAUCCAGCAAAUUGCUGGGAACGUCGCCGCGCACGAUCCGCUGCGCGAGGCCCUCGACGACGGCCGUCUUGCCGACGCCGGGCUCGCCGAUGAGGACCGGGUUGUUCUUGGUCCUCCUGGAGAGGACGCGUAUGACGCGGCGGAUCUCCUCGUCGCGGCCAAUGACGGGGUCGAGCUUCCCAGCGACCUCGACCAGGUCGCGGCCAUAGGUCUUGAGGGCCUGGAAGUUGGUGUCCCCGGACGCGCUUUCUACCUUCUUGCCCUCCUUUCCCCGGAGCUUCUCGAUCUCGGCGCGGACUCGAGCGGCGCUGACGCCGGCCUCCUUGAGGCACUCGGCAAUCUGAGGGUCCUCCAGGAGACCGAGGAUGAGUUGGUCGACGGCGAGGUGGGAGUCGCCGCGCGACUUCUGGGAGGACUGCGCACGGCGGAUGACCUUGAUGAGAGAGGUGGCAGCGGGAACCUCGUCGGGAGGUGGGGACUGGGAGGGGAGCUUCUUGAGGGCGACGCCGACGGUCCGAUCGAAGGACUGGGCUGCGGCGUCGCCGGCGCCACCGGAGGCGUUGACGAGGGCCUGGCGGAGGAGGCCAUUAGGAUCGGCGGCGAGGGCGGAGGCAAGGUGGAGCGGCGUGAUCUGGGCGUGCCCGGAGUCAAGGGCAAGCUCGUGGGCCGCGACCAGCGCCUCGUUCGUCUUGUGCGUGAAUUUGUCGGGGUUCAUGGCGGAUCGCUUUCUUUAAUAUGUGGAUACAGAAAAAACCAGAUUUGAGGGUUGGGCUUACCAGACGGCCAGCACCUCUGGUAAUGGACGAGGAUGAGGGGCGCAAGAAGCGGGAAGCACAGAGCAUUCGCGAAGCUACGAGAGAGAGAGAGGCUAUACCAGAAGUGUCUGCAACGUCGGAUGGACAUCGUACGGAUGUGAUGUUUACACGUGGAACGAGGAGUGGGGUGUGGGGCGACGGGCCCGAUCGAGUCUUUUUCCAAGGAUUGAGAAUAGAAAGGUGCCCAAAUGUUUCGGGCUCCAGUACCGGUCUCAACUACGUGGUUAUAUUGGAGCAAGGCAUAUGUGGGACCCGCGAAUUUUCCACUAAAGAUGAGGUAAGCACAUCGGGUACGUUUUGGGCAAAACGCGUCUACCAAUUGGGCCGAACGUGACCACCCGCCCCCGGAUAUGCCCCAAGUGCCCUCCACUGCGGGGCCUUAGUCGCCGCGGGUGAGAAACUUAAUCGAACACCUUAAGCGCGCCAGCCCAACCAGGCGACGAGAAGCAUCGAUGGCUUCGUCCGCGAGGGCUUUCGGUGCAGUCCUCUGCAGAGUCUCACUGUCACAGGGCCUCUCUCCCCUCAGGAGCUCACUGUGCCUUCAGGGUAUGUCUCCCCCUCUCUCAUCUUUUCCGUAACAACAAUUUCUUCGAUGAAUCCAACCGCUCGUCUCUUCUCUUUAGGAAUCGGCUUGCUGGGCUCGAGGUUGCCUUCUGCUCUUCCGAAGGAGGCGCGUAAUACCCAGACCGUGCGAAAGAUAUGGACCUCGCGCCCUGUUUGCAUGGGCAGGCGUUCUUGCAAGAUCGCUGGAAGAAAGGUCCCAACUUUUUGGUCUUACACGCUUGAUUCCUUGUUAUCAUUUGUUCUAGGUAGCAUCUGUCUAUCACAAACACGGAUUCAUUUGUUUGUUUUCUUUUCCCUCUUUAUAAGUAAAAGAAGGUGAUAAGCAAUAUGUCUCUCGUUCAUUGCUCACUUGGUUAGGUAUCUAAUCCUUGGGUCUUCGUUGGUCCGAACAUGUCUGAUUGACGCAGUAAUGUGAUCAGCAAUAUGUCUCUCGUGCAUUGCUCACUUGGUUAGGUUUAUAAUCCUUGGGUCUUCGUUGGUACGAACAUGUUUGAUUGACGCAGUAGUGCUCUUUGGGAUCUCCAUUCUGGCUGCAUCACUCAAAUCUAGAUCUCCUAUGUAGUGGAAUGUUCUACUUAUCACUAUGUGGAAAGUUGCAUCAAGGAAAAAUAGAACUGUGGUGCAGUUGCUAACAAUAAUUUAGCAGCUUGAAGUUCCGACUAAAGAUUUCGUUUCUUCCAAAGCAUUAUUGCAUUGUGUUGGCAAUUGUUUAUUUGCACAACAUCAAUUUGUUCCCUCUUCUAUCCUUAAACAUCAUCAUCUCAUGCCCCUUUCGUCCUGAAAAUAAUUAUUGUGUUAUGUUCAAUUUUCAAUGCUGACAGCUUUUUGUCUUUGGGACAUCAGUUUCAUGCCCUUUCCUGAAAACACUAUUGUUCCUUUUAUAGGUAGUGUCAAGAAUGCUUUAUCUACCACUAGCUGUUUAGUUUCUUAACAGCCACUCCAGUACUAUUUACAAUAAGUUGUCUGUGUACUGUAAAUCUGGCUUUUGCUAAUAAUUUCUAGGUUACUUGUUUGCAUUUGUUACUUCUCAUGUUCUUUUCAUGCCUUGGUGUCAGUACAUGUGAGGUUCUUCAGGAUCAUCAUCUAUGUGAUCAUAAGUUUUUUUCUUUUCCAAUUAGGAAAUCCAGUCAAGGACUGCAGGUUUCUUUUUCUAACUUCAUUUUAGAUAUGUAAGGAAACUUGUUUUUGAAAGUAAUAUUCCCUUACAUUGACUUGUCAAAGCUUAUUUAAGAAUUAUAGAAAGAUAUAAUUGUUGUGUCAAAAUGAUUCCACAGUGCUUUUUUUUAUUAGUUACCCUGAAAAAUGUCAUUUCCAUCUAAUCUUGUUUUGUCUUUUCUUUAUUUAAUUCAGAUGUUAUGAUAAGCUCUAGCGAGAUAAGUGUGAUUAUACAAUGAAAUAUUUUUUUUCUUUUGUUUUUGGCUUAAGUUCCAUUUGCCACUUCUUUGCAGGAUGCACAGAAUCUGAAGAAAAUGAAACGUAAUAGCAAAAUUGGAAAAGAAAUUGUUGCUGCGUAAGUUGUAAAAGCUUUGAAAUUCUGAAGCUUUCUAUAUUGUUAUUGAUUAUUAGCUUUCUGGAACUUACUAUGUUCAUAUGCCAUGUUUCAGCAACGUUUAUCAGAGAGUAGGCUUGUUUGUAAUGACAGCACCCAUGAUGUCCUGAAACUUCGUAGUAAUACUUUUUUGUGUAUGAUGUUAUUCAAGGGUGCCUUUUGCUAGAAAGUUUUACCUGCAUCAGAUUUUGUAAAUCAUAGUUACUUAUGUCUCCUAUGUCCAAGUGCUGAACCAUCAACAUGUCUUGUUUCUAUGUUUGACAAGAAUUCUAGCUGCUUGGCUAUUUAUCCUAAUUUAAUGUCUCCAUUAGAUAGAUGAAAAGAGCUUUUCUAUAUUGCAUCAGAACUUCCCACUUCAUCUGGUUACUUAGGCAUUUUCUUGAUAUGUCAUGUCAUUCAAGUUCCUUCCUGAAAAUUAAGAAGAUCACUCUGUUGCAGAAUGAUAAAAUCUCUUUCUAGAUGUAAAGGACCUAAUUAUCUGAUCUAAAACUGGGGUUUAUGUUUUAAGUGAACUUUUCUGUUCUCUUAAUGUGAAAAAUUUUUGAAGUUGACAUGCUGUGGUUGCUGUGUUGCAUCAUAAAGUAUACAGAGAGGAGGUCCAAAUCCUAAUUCGAAUACAGUUUUAGCUGCUAUACUAGACAAAGCUAGGGAGCUUGAUGUACCCAAGGAAAUUGUGGAGCGUAACAUAAAAAAAGCAACGGAAAAGGGACAAGAGGCUUAUAUUGAGAAAUUCUACGAGGUAAAUGAUCCAUUUGAAUAUGUUUUUGAAAAUCAGUUUGCAAUUUUGACUAAUACAUAUAUUCUGAAUCAGGUAUAUGGUUUUGGUGGGGUCGGUAUGGUUGUUGAGGUCCUAACAGAUAAAGUGACAAGAUCAGUGGCUGCCGUCAGAGGAGUCGUAAAGGACUGUGGAGCAAAGCUAGCUGAUCCAGGAUCUAUUUUAUUCAAGUUUAGGCGAGUUCGAGUUGUCAAUAUAAAGGCUAAUGCUGCUGACAAAGACCAGCUGCUUAGUAUUGCUCUGGAUGCUGGUGCUGAAGAUGUUAUAGAACCAGCAGAGGAUGAAGAUGACUUGGAAGAAGAUCGUCCUGAUAGGUAUUUUGCCAAGAGGAGGAUGUCAUUAGUCACUGUUUAUUGUUAUUAACCCUUCUAUGUGAUGUAUUAUUAUCUUUUGCUAGUUGGUAUGGUCACAAAUAGCAGAGAAUGAGCCUUGGCACCACAUAAGGCUGCUUCUUUGCGACCUAGGUGACUGAGGUCAGAGUCACAAGACAUAAGGAGUAGGGCUACAAACAUUAGCCUUCUUCAAACCUUCCAUCGGUGAGAGUCUGAUGCAUUGGACUGCCCUUUAUGUAACAUAUGCUAGUCUAGACCAGAUAUACAUUUAAAUGAAGCAAUAUUAAAUGACAUCCUUAAGUUAACAUAAUGGUCAAAAUGUUAAUAAUUUAAUUAGAGAAACAAAUCAAGUAACAUGAGAUAUUUAAGGUCGCUACAACUGUUGUUGCUGCAUGAAGUAUGUUGGCUAUCUAACUUCAGAUAGUUCAAAAAUUGUGUGUUCUCAUUAUUCUCCUCCUCAAACAUCAAUUCCUCCUCCUCAGACAUUGUUUCCACAAAUAUUUUGUUGUUUUCCUUCAUAAUUUGCCAGCGGAAAUUGGUAAAAUUCCACAGCUAGUAUUUAUUGAAGAAUUACAUACAUCAUUCUUAUGCAAUGGAUUUUGAUGUCCAAAAGACAAUGCUAUGAAAUCGUUGCCUGUGCCUGUGAUAUAAACUGAGAUUUUACUCGGUUGCCUUCUGAUAUAUCAAGCAACCACAUGAAUUUCUUUUGGGUUAUUAUAUUAUGGUACAAGCAAUCUGUUAAUUUGUCAGUCAUAUUGUGGCCAGUUAUAUUUGGGACAACUAAUUGAACUGGGAAGCAGCAUACAUAAUGUCCAAAUUCAAACAUGUGAUGAGUUCAUUCAUGGGGAUAUGUCACAUCCAGAAACAUAUACUGUGAUCAUUAUAAUAUGUGGUCCUGACAGAUAAUUAAUCAGAGAUGGAUGCUUUAUAUGCUUGACUGUUGUCUUAUAAGUUAUAAUCAUGAUCAUUUAGUAUUAAUGUUCUUGAAAAUUUGUUCAGAAAAUUAUUUCUAUACUCAAUUCCUUUUGCAGAUAUUACAAGAUCGUUACUUCUUCAGAAAAUUAUUCCACAAUACUAUCAAAACUACGAGAUGAUGGAGUAGCGUUUGAACCAGAUAAUGGUUUUGAGCUACUGCCACAUAACCCCAUUGAGGUAUGGUUUGACAUCUACACCAAUGCUCUCAUCUCAUAUGUCUUUUUUUUUUUUUAGAGAAGUAAAUUAGAUACCUUAGUGAACAUUUAGAAUAGGUAGUGGCAAUAACUCAAAACUAUAAAGUACCAUCAUUUGGAAGUCUUAUAAAGCAGAUUUUGUCCUCCAUAGGCUCCUUUGAUAUUUUUGUAAAAUAAUGGGCCACCAUGUAGGCCUUUCUUGUGACUUGUGAGACACAAUAGUCGUUAACCUUUUGUAGGAAACAGCACAUAUGUUGUGGAAGCUCCAUUUGAAUGGCCUAGCAAAGUGGAUUUAUGCAAGCAAUGCUUCAACUUCUGGAGUAUAGCCAUAUAUUUUCUCUGGUGCAGCCAUACCCUUUACUGGCUGAUCUUAAAUGCCUAACCAACCCCUGCAUAUUGUUGAAUGCUGUUGUGCCUUUCUGUUUUUUUUUUUUUCUUCACCUCUCUUGACCUAAUUGAAUGGAAAUUCUAGCUAUAACUGUCUUUCCAAUGAAGUUCAUGUCAUUAUUAACUUUGUAAUCCUCUAACUUCUGCUUACCUUUGCUUCAUGGACCAUUCUCUGUAACAAAUGAAGGUGUGAUAUCUAGUAAUUCGACAAGUUCUGCAUCUUUUCACUAUCAUUAAGUAGUUAUUUCACAAUUGGAACAGCCAAAGAAGUAAAGAUAUUCUGAUAACAAUUUUGACAUAUUUCUCUAUGAUUAAAGAUAAACCUCUGCUUUAUUUAUUGUGUCAUGUAACAUGUAGAACAUCUUGUUCUAUGGGCAUUAGAAAUUUGAGAACAUGGUCAAAAUGCAAGUUUGUUAGUUGCAUUGUGUUAGCCUCAAAUUUUUCUCCCGAUGAUUAUUGAUGCUAGAUCCAAAUAGUUUUGUCUAAUAAGCACAUAGUCAAGAUUAGUUACCACCACGGCUCAUAAUCUUUUUCAAGACGGUUGAAUUCUUUAGGGUCCAUUUGGAUACUGAGUGAUGGAAUAAGGAUUUUCUCAUUAUAACAUUUCAGACAAUUAUUAUUUUAUAGGACUAUAAACUUGUAUUAGUUAAAUGGUGUAACCAACAGAAUAGCCUAUUCUACAAAAUAACAGAUUAACUAUUUCUUUCAUUACUGUUACUUAUUUUGGUAGUGACAAAACGUAAAUAUUCUUUAUCUUAGGUAUAUUCUUAUUCCAUACAAGAAAGGUACAAUAUUCUUGAGCCAAAUGGGCCUUUGAGUAGUUCGUCUCGUGUAUUAGAGCUUUGCCACAAUACUUGUUCAACUUUUCAUAUUACGUCUUAAAGCACGGUGUCAUUAUUUAGGUACAAGUUAAUCCUCUAACAUAUUUGUCCUCCAGCCGCUCCAUAUCAUAAUAAUUAAUUCCACUUCUCUCUGGAAUUUCAUUGUGUGGUGUUUUCUGUGCCAGGUAGAUGAUGAAGCCAUGGAGUUAAACAAGGACCUUAUGUCCAAGUUGCUUGAACUUGAUGAUGUUGAUGCUGUUUAUUCGGAUCAAAAGGAUACGUGAUUGUUUUGCAGUCAGGUAUGGAUUCUGUUGCAUCAUCUUAUCAUUUUCUUGCUUAUUUUGGUGAUAGGACUAUCAAUAUCUCUGUACAAAAUCUUGACCAUUCCUAAAUAUACAGAAAUCUUCCUGGCAUCCAGAGGUUUCAAAAAUAUGAUAGAGAGAACUACGACAGAUCUUGAUUUAGUUAUAUUACCAGGUGUUCAUCAUUAUAAGGAAGAAGUUUCAUGUCCCAUCACUUGCAGAGAGAUGAAUUUUUCUUUAAAAUUAUUAAGGUUUCCAUCUGAACCGUUGUGUCAAACACAACUAAUUUUAGACUCGGCAAGAAGCGACCUCUAUUCCUUUUCCCAAAUUUGUUGCAACCACAAAAAUAGAAGGUUGGCACUCUCUUCCCAAUAAUCAUGAUUUCGUAUAUUAGUUAAAAAAACACUUGCCUAGAUCGUGUUGGAUUGUUUGUAUUUGGAUUUUUUUUUUUUUCUGUUGAUAUGUACCUUGUUACAGAGGUUCGUUCCCUAGUCUUAUAAGAGCAUCAGAAGAUGCUAAUUAGAGCCAUAUUUGUGCUUUUAUUUAUUUUUUUUAAUCUCUAAAUGCUUCGUGGACUGCAGUAUCAACAAAUAUUUCUUUUUUUCUUAUGCAUCCAGUGGAGUUGUUUUUUGACAUGGAAUUUUGGAAGAGUAGAUGUUCUUAGACUCUUUCGAUUAUAUGUUGGAAGUUCUGAUUAUUAAAACACCUCUUUUUUUUCCUUUUUUUUUUUUUAAAGGGAUUGAUUGAGAACACAUCAUAUGAUACUUCACUUUUGUCCGUGGUUUUAAAUACUGCUCAGAUGGGUCCGUCUUAAUCAGUGUUUAUCAAUCCAACAAAGAACACCGGUAUUUGUUUUGUCGGUAUAGAGAUAUGGGGGUAAGUAGAUAGGAUCAGCAUUCUUGUAUCAGUUCAAGAUAUGAAUGCAACUAUGGGCGUGCCACUCUUUCUUAUGCUUGCUUCUGAAAGAACAUGAUAAGUUUGGACCACUUGGUUGCGGUAGUAUUGAGGACAUUGUAUUGAGGAAAAAUAUGACCCAUCCCACCAACCCAAUCACUCUUAAAAUUAUAUUCUUUUUCUUUUGGCAGAAUAAUACCAUCCAAACUUUAUCAAACACUGCCCCAUGUAAUUUUGAUAUAAUAUCCCUCCGAAUAUUAGAUUAACUAUAUUAGUUUUGUAGACAAGUAUAUUCUAAACCUAAAUCGAGAGGAAUAAAUAUGCAAUCAUGAGGGUGGACUUUAUGAAUGUCAAAGUGGCCUAGCAAAACUGUAGGACAAUUGUGUGAGCCAUAGUGCUCAAUCAGAGACAGGCAAAAGAAUCCCAUUUCAUACAUGAUAUUUUAAAUAGGGCUUACCCACUACUAUCCUAUCCUUUGACAAUCUGUGCCGAUAAGAUGAUACUAACCCUCUUGCAAUGUCCUGAUUACUAUCACCGGCGAAACUCUUCCGUCGACGUGAGAUCUGAAGAUGAUGAUGAUCCAUAUACUCGACCUACUCCUAUUAAAAGAUGGAUACGUACGUAUUGGCGGCAACCUGAUGCAGCCAUCAGAAACAGCUGGUGGAAAAGCGGACAUGGGCCCCUCCGUCCACAGCUGUUACCAAAGGCAGUCACGGGCUGCUUUAAUCGAAAUUAGUCUCGGAGCCAUUUUAUCCAACACCUGCCAGCCUAAGCCAGAGUGUCCCGCGGCGCCGACCUCUCCGCCACGAGCUCCCAUGUUCCUCUCCUGGCCGUCUCCUUCAUGCCCACACGCCAAACUCGCCGCCGAGGCAGAGACAACUAUGUGUUCCCCCCUGCUGCGUCGUCAACUCGCCACGGGAGCAGACCACCUCGACUGCGUUUGCUUCUCGGCUGCUUAACCGCUCAUCUUCAUCCGUCAACGGCUAUCCUUUUGUUGCCUGCUCUGUUUGAUAGGAAGGUGAUGAUGAUCGCAGACUUCUCAGUUUGGGUCCUAAAAAGCAACUUAAAACUAUGUUCAUUAUUAUGCUAACAAAAGAUAUAAAUAUGUCGAAUAAUCAACACAUUGUUACAUAAUUGAUCGUUUUCGAAUUCAAAUAACACUAUAUACGUUAGUUUAUUGAUAGGGGAAUGAUGAUAUGGUCUAUACCUAUCGGCCAUAACCGACAUCUAUUAGUCACGUAGUCGACACCCCAACAUUAUAUGAUUGAUAGAUGCAUACUUGUCAUGUAGCCGACACCCUUGUGUUACAUGAUCAAUAUCACGUGCCCUAACAACUCAUUAUCAUAUUGGCCAAUACCUAGAUAGUAUGUGGCUGACUUGGAGUUGCCCUUGGACAUUACAAAUUAUAUCAAUAGUUAUUGUACAUUUCAUUGGAACGGAGAGAAGCAUGUAAACCAUCUUUGAUAUCAUUGUGUAUCUUUGAGCAUAACAAUUAUAAAGCUAUAUCAUAAAAGAUCCCCAUAGUUGUAUUUUUUCACACACUGGGUUGUUAGGCUCUAAUACGUUCAACUCUAAAGGACUGAUUAAUACCUUAUAAUCAAAAUUAACUUAAGCAUCGAAAGGGGUUUUGAUGAACAUGUCUGUUUCAUAGAAUUUAACACCUAGGGAACAAAAGGGAUUUGAUAUUUUUUUCGACACUAGUCAAUGACAAAACAGGUAAAAGGACCUCGAUAAGCUCCGAAUCCGGUUCCCUUUCGAAUAAUCAAAAUUUAUAUUAAAUAUUAUAUAUAAUUAGAAAAAUUUGAUAUAGUGGGCAAAAAAUGAGUCAAGUUCAACUCUACUCUUCUAAUACCUGAUGGAUACUAAUAAAUAAGUCAAAAAUAAACAUUAAACUAGGACCUUAAAAUUAUUUUUUUAAAUAUGGCCAAAUUUAUAAAAAAAAUAUAAGUUUUCACUUUUUUUCAUAGAGCAUUCUUGUUUUACUUUAUUCCCGUCCCUUAUUUUCUAAACGAUAAGAUUAUCCAUAAUCUAUACACCAUCUGUCGUUACCUUCACCUCUCCUCACCAUUGAGAAGGCCAAGUUUGCUAAAGGGAUUCAUCAAACUCUAGAUAUCCAUCAUUUUUGAGCUGGAGCUCGUGCUGCCCUAUCUUUUCGACUUCUAUAAUCACUAUUGUUUCGUGUGACACAUCCUCUAUUGUAAGCUCUUCCACUCUACCUUCACCAUCCUCUCCAGGCCCAUCCAAUUAGUUGAGUGAUAUUAUGGUAAUGUUAAUGCCUCCAUUGGCAAGCUAUAGAUAUAGAGUGAUCUUAAGAUUCUCUCUCACAAGCUUGAUCUCAAUCUUCGUGAUGUGAUUACAUACUCUUUAUUAAGACUCUGCAUCCUCAACAAAAUACACUAAUUGAAAUCUUUGCGAGUUGAGUUGCCUGCUUGCCUCUUGAUUGGGCAUGCUGGUGCCAAGAAGGAAAUCUUGGAUAAGUCACUGGCAUGAUGGCUUGCUUUCCUAGAAUGAAGUAACAUCUUUGCCCUUGUAUAACUAUUGAAAACAAUCUUCUUUGAGUUUAAGGAGAAGGUGGUCACAAUGAAACCGUUUGACUUGACGAAGAUCAUGAUAAUGAGACGAAGGCGAAGGAUAAUAUAAAUUUUUAGAAAAUAAAAUAAAAAGCGACAUUAUGCAUAAAAAAAAGUAAAUAUUUAAAUUUUUGGGAUAAAUUUGUCCAAAAUAUAUUAAUUUCUGGUUAAAAACAGUAUUUUUGCUCUUUUUAUCUCUGUCAGCCUUUAUACACUAUGAUCAGACUGUUUUCUUUUCUCUCUCUCCUUCUUUAGUGUUCAUUACCCAAUAAUUACUGCAUUUCACCUAAACAUAAAAGAAAUCAUUACAUCCCCAUCCGAUGACAGCGGAAAGCGAAAGGAGAAGCCGCGAACGAGAAGAGAAGCAAGGAAGCGAGCCUUAAGAGGAGCCCUUCUCGCGGCGGUGAUGGCUCGGCUCUUCCGAGGAGGAAGCCUCGGCGACUCCAAGCGAGAGAGCAGCGGCAGUUCCUCCCUCCGCCUCUCCUCCUCCUCCUCCUCCGUCGCCGCCGCCAUGUCCGCCGCCGAUCUCCUCUCCCCCUUCGGCCAGAUGGGCGUCCCCCUCUCGGAUCCCGAGCUCCGCGAGACCGCCUACGAGAUCUUCGUCGCUUCCUGCCGUACCACCGGCUCCAAGCCCCUCACCUACAUCCCCCAGUCCGAGCGGACGCCGCCCUCCGCCGAGCGCUCCUCCUCGCUCUCCCCCUCGGCCUCGUCGCUGCAGAGGUCGAUCACCUCCACCGCCGCCAGCAAGAUGAAGAAGGCCCUCGGGCUCAAGUCGUCCUCGUCGUCGAAGAAGGGGAGCCCCGGCAAGGACAGCAGCCCGUCCAAGCCCUCCAAAAAGCCGGCCACAGUCGGGGAGCUCAUUAGGGUGCAGAUGAGGAUCUCCGAGCAGACGGAUUCCCGGAUCCGGAAGGGGUUGCUCCGGAUUGCAGCGGGGCAGGUGACUAAUUUUACAGAUCACUGUUGUUCUGCCUAGAUCUCUAUGUGUUUGUUGAUCUUCUUGACUUCUUAGUCUUCAUUAUACACGCUGCUAGUGUAGUAAGAACUGAUCUGACUUCUUAAACUGAUAAGAUCAGAUGAAGUAGUUAGACUGAUCAAAAUUGUCUGUUGGAGAUCUUAAGAUGUGAAUCAAUUAGUAGGAAAUUCAAAUCAGGGCAUAAAAAUUUCCAAAGAUCUCUUAUAUAUGCUAAUUAUUGCACUUCUUUCUACAAUCCUUCUGAUCCACUUAGUUUAGACUUUGCUUGUUCACUCCUGUGCUUGUAUUUGUGUUUACCUGUUAAGUUCUGGCACGAGAAGUGGUAUAUUCCUGUAUCUACGCUAGUUUUUAUUAACCUCCUGUGAUGGUCAAAAGGUUCUUCCUGCAGAAAAUGAGUCUUUUCCUGUUAGUUUAGACUUUGUUAGAGCUUUCCAUUCCUACUCACUUCCCAUAUGUAAAUAGGUUUGUACUUCUCACUGUAAUUUUCUUUAUAUGCGUUCUGUCCACCAAUGAACAUCCAGAUGAUAGCACUUGAACAUUCCUAUCUAUACAGGGAUUACUGUAUGAUCUGUUUGGUUUUUUGGUCAAUGCUUAAUUAUGGUGUUUCAUGGUUGUCUGUUUACUCGUCCAUCAAACUUAUGAUGUCAAUGCACUGUGAAUAAGUGACGUGCCAGAGAGUUCUAGGAUUUUUACUAUGAAAUUAUUUUUUAUCAUUUUAUGGUGUUUCAUGGUUGUCUGUUUACUCGUCCAUCAAACUUGAUGUCAAUGCACUGUGCAUAAGUGAUGUGCCAGAGGGUUCUAGGAUUUUUUCUAUGAAAUUAUUUUUUAAUAGACACUUUCUCCAUAUAUUUUCACAGGAUAAAGGAACUAAUGUGGUUGACUUUCUUGGUUUGUGAUAGUGGAUUUUUGUUGAUUUAGUUGGUGACCGAUGAUAACAUUUAAGACUGGCAGUUGCAUCUUAAUUGAUGGUUAAUGUGUCCUUUUCUUAUAAUUUAAGUUUCAUAAAUUGCUAUUGUUCUCAAAUAAUAUGUUUGAUUAGUAUUUAUUGGUCUUCCUCCAUGAUGACAGCUUGGGAAACGUGUGGAGUCAAUGGUUCUGCCUCUAGAGUUGCUGCAGCAGUUCAAAGCUUCAGAUUUUUCUGACCAGCAAGAAUAUGAAGCCUGGCAAAGUAGAAACUUAAAGGUUCUCGAGGCUGGGUUGCUUGUGCAUCCUCUUGUUCCAUUAAAUAAAUCAGAUAAUGCAUCACAACGACUUAGACAAAUAAUACGUGGAGCUUCCGAGAAGCCGAUUGAAACUGGAAGAAAUUCGGAGUCGAUGCAAGUGCUGCGUAGUGCUGUGAUGUCCCUUGCCUGUAGAUCUCCUGAUAGAUCUGCUUCAGAUUUUUGCCACUGGGCUGAUGGUUUUCCACUGAAUCUCCACCUGUACCAAAUGUUAUUGGAGACUUGUUUUGAUGCCAGCGAGGAUGGAUCGAUAAUUGAUGAAAUCGAUGAGGUUUUAGAGUUGCUAAAGAAGACUUGGGUGAUACUGGGCAUAAAUCAGAUGCUUCACAAUCUCUGCUUUACUUGGGUUUUAUUUCACCGUUUUGUUACAACUGCUCAAGUAGACAUCGAUCUGCUGCAUGCAGCUGAUAAUCACAUGGAUGAAGUUGCAAAGGAUGCUAAAGCAACAAAAGACUCAGUGUAUUCAAAGAUAUUGAGUUCAACUUUGAGCUCAAUAUUGGGGUGGGCAGAGAAAAGACUUCUUGCUUACCAUGACACAUUUAAUGCUAGUAAUAUUGAAUAUAUGCAAAGUAUUGUAUCAUUAGGUGUAUCGGCUGCCAAGAUACUAGUGGAAGAUAUUUCUAAUGAAUAUCGUCGUAAGAGGAGAGAAGAAACUGAUGUAGCUCGUAGCAGGGUUGAUACGUAUAUUCGGUCAUCACUUCGUACAGCUUUUGCUCAGGUAAGUUCUGCUGAAUUGUCAGAUUGAGUUCCUGCAGCCUGCUUGUUCCUGUUAACCUCUAUCUUUUUCACAUGCCUUCAUGGACUUUACUAGAUUGCCUCUAGAUUUUUACACAACAUCAAUCAUUUGUGUUAAUGUAUGGUUCUUUUUUGCUCCAAAUCACCCAUAAGACAAUAUGACUGCACAUUUAACGAGUAGUUCCCUGGCUGUAUUAGUUCAAAGUUCAUCCAUUACUUGGGUCUCAUGUAACUGUACGCUUGUACAUGUACCUGUUUUACCUUACUGGAAUGAUGGAUAAAAGGUUGGUUAGUCUGCUAAAAGGCUAUAUGAUUAGAUGAGAUCGUCUAGUAUUAGUUGCCUGCCUACUUCGAUAAUUCUGAUCCAUUGAUCGAUCUGAUACAGAGAAUGGAACAAGCAGACUCCAGCAGGCGAUCAUCGAAGAACCAGAGUACUCCUACUCCUGUUCUUUCCAUCCUGGCAAAGGACAUUGGUGAACUAGCAAGCAAAGAAAAAGAGUUGUUCAGUCCAAUGUUAAAGAGAUGGCAUCCACUUGCUGCAGGUGUUGCUGUAGCUACACUUCAUUCUUGUUAUGGAAACGAACUAAAACAGUUCAUAGCGGGUGUUAUGGAACUAACACCAGAUACAGUUCAAGUUCUUAAAGCUGCAGACAAGUUAGAGAAAGAUCUUGUGCAUAUUGCUGUCGAAGAUUCGGUCGAUAGUGAUGAUGGGGGUAAGUCAUUAAUCAGAGAGAUGCCGCCUUAUGAGGCUGAAUCUGCAAUCGCCAAUCUUGUCAAAGUGUGGAUCAAGACAAGAGUAGACAGGCUGAAGGAUUGGGUUGACCGCAACUUGCAGCAGGAGGUUUGUCUUGUUUUUUCUUCCGUGCAACGGAUGCAUAAUUUUCCUUCAUUGUACAUACUAAACAUACUAUGGAAUGAUUUUAUCUAUUGUUUUUCUUUUUAAAAGUAUGAAUGUAACCUUGGUUAACAUAAUGGUUUUAUCAUCUUCGUCAAAGUUUUCUCCCAUGACAUGAUCUUCUGGAGUGUAGCUCAAAACCAAGAUGGCCUAUAUGAAGUUUGAGUAUGGUUUUUGGCUAACUGUCAACCCCAUGUGAACCCUCUAAAACUAAGUGAACUCUUGCCCGAGCUAAAUUUAGUUAAAUGGACUACUCUUGUUAGUUGCUGUUUAAUUUCACACAAACAAGGGGCUAAGUUCCCAGAGCUUGCCAGGAGUGCAGAAGAGAAAACAUUACAAGAAGUAGAAAGAAACAAAAAAAGGGCAGGGAGGGUUGACACGCUUCAAGCAAGAUAAUGAGUACCAUUAGAAAGGCACAAAUAAGCCAAUGAACCACUAGCAACUGAUGUUAUUUGCUUCUGUCAUAAUAGUAAAUGUGUUUUUACCUCUCACUAUGGCAUCUUGAAAUUUUUUUUUUAAAGUACUAUCAUUCUUAUAAGCAUGUUGCACUUCUUUUUACUAGGGCCUCCAUGUUCGAGAUUUCACUUUGCAGUCUACAUGUAGGCCAUAUAUUAAGAACCCCUGGUUGUGCUUUUGCCUUUUUCUAAAUGUGCAUAGGUAGAUUUGUGCCUUUUAAAUAUGUAGUAAAUGACGAUUCAUUGAUUUAGAGACUUAUAUGACACAAAAACUCUUUAUGUGCCAACAUGUAAUAUUUUUAUGUUUUUUCACUUUUUAAACAUUUUAAUAUAACCUGAUUUCUGAUAUUGUUAUGUGGAACAUCUCUGUAGAAUUGGAAUCCAGGGGCAAACAGAGAGAACUGUGCACCUUCUGCAACUGAAGUUCUACGGAUUAUUAAUGAGACUUUAGAUGCAUUCUUUCAACUGCCUAUACCAAUGCAUGCAGCCAUGCUUCCUGACUUGUUGAUAGAACUUGAUAGAAGUCUGCAACAUUAUGCAUUAAAGGUGAAGUCUGGAUGUGGUAAGUAUCAAGUAACACUGCAAAUAGGUUGCUUCAAUCGGUGGAAUGUUAAAUUAUUUACCGUUGUCUUUCUGUUCAGCAACCCGAAGUAGUUUUCUGCCUUCGUUGCCAACAUUAACCAGAUGUGAGGUUGGUUCAAAACUUUGGAAGAAAAAAGAGAAGCCACAGAAUUUGCCAAAACGCAGAUCACAGGUUGGAUCAAGAGAUAGUAAUUCAUUUGGUCUGCCACAGCUCUGUGUACGCAUGAAUUCACUUCAUUAUAUACGGACAGAGUUAGAGAACCUGGAGAAGAAAAUAAAAACUUGUCUACGGAAUGUUGAAUCAGCACAAGCAGAUAUAUCAAAUGGGUUGGAGGUCAGCUUCGAGCUUACUCUGGCUUCUUGUCAAGAAGGAAUUCAGCAACUAUGCGAGACAACAGCUUACAAGGUGAUCUUCCGUGACUUGAGUCAUGUUCUGUGGGAUGCCUUAUACAUUGGUGAGACUACUUCAUCGAGAAUUGAUCCGUUUAUAAAGGAACUUGACCCGAUUCUGGAGAUGAUAUCAAAUACGGUGCACAACAGGGUGAGAAAUCGUGUCAUAACUGCAUUAAUGAAGGCUUCUUUUGAUGGGUUUUUGCUAGUUCUUCUUGCCGGCGGCCCACUUCGUGCAUUCUCCCGCCAAGAUUCACAGAUAAUAGAUGAGGAUUUUAGGUCACUCAAGGACAUAUACCUGGCCGAAGGUGAUGGAUUACCCCAGGAACUAGUUGAGAAGGCCUCGGCACAAGUGAAAAAUGUGCUGCCUCUAUUCCAUGCUGACACCGAAAGCCUCAUCGAGCGGUUUAGACAAUUGAUUACAGAAACAUAUGGCGCUUCGGCCAAAUCCAGGUACCCGUUACCUCCAACCUCUGGCAACUGGAAUCCUACGGAGGCCAAUACAGUUCUGCGGGUGUUGUGCCACAGAAACGAUGAGAGUGCCACAAGGUUUCUAAAGAAAACUUACAACCUCCCGAAAAAGCUGUAGCCUCAGAGUACUACUGCUGCCGACAGAUGAAUCGCUGGUUUUCUGGAAGCUCUCUGUUUUCUAUCUUUCUGAAAUAUUUUUGCCAUGAGUUGCAAGUAUAUUCCAACUGCUGAUGAAUCUGAUUACAACAUAGUUCAUAUGCCAGCACUGUUUAACUCAGGGGAUCUAAUCCUUUACAGGCAUGUGGAUGUGUGAUCCAAUAGCUGAAUGAUCGACCAGGUUCAAGGUGGGAGCAAAUCCAUCCUUCUUUUAAUGAGUGAGCAUGUCUGAAGCUUAGGAUGUGUAUACUACAUUUAGCAGUAUUCUUUUCAUUUACUAGUAGCUAUGCUGCGCUCGGUGAUCGUCUCUAAUCCGGUUUUCUCUGGUGGGUAAUGUAUGCUUGCAUAAGUUAAAAGAAAAGCUGUUGUGGAUAAGUUCUUUCUAAAUGUAUUAUGACCUGCUCUUGUAUUGACAACAUUGUGCUACAUGUUGUUUGCUUUUGUGCUCUUCUCAGAGCCACACUGAAAUACAAUGUUUCAACAUGAUUUGUUUCAUCAAUUGGGUUGGCAAUGUUACAUGCAUUAUGCCGCUAAUCUGAUCAAUCAUCUGUUUUUACCCAAUGGAUCCAUCACUGGUGAGAGAGUUUGAUUUAUUCUACUACUCUCUUUGGAAUGAUAAUUCUACAUCUUCUUUUGUCCCUCUUACUUGAGUUGGCUUAGGAUGGAUGGCUGAAGCUUUGGUACGAUCGAGGUUAAUUUUCUUAUCAACCCUUUAGUGACAGAAGAGAUGCUCUCUGAACUUAUCGGGACUGUCGUAGAGACCCAAUGUCUAAAGUCUUCUAUCAUACUAUACUGUUCUUCUUCUUCUUGCUUUCGGACCGCAUCAAGACUCAUUAUUUUCAUUCGUAAGUGCAAUAAUCCAUGUCAGGUUAGGGAUUUUGGGCCAAUCUCUUUGUAUAAUGUGAAUUAUAGGAUCAUUGCCAAUUUUUUUGCUAAUCGAAUGAAAUCUUUUCUUGACUCCCUAAUUAAUUUCUAAGGUACAAUCUGUUUUCUUACCUAAAUUUAUGUCUUCUUACCUAAAUUUAACAUAAAUAAAAAUAUUUUGAUUAUCCUAAGAGAUUGUAAUGUACGAUUUUAAGAACAAAAAUUCUUAUGUAUUAAUUUGUCUUGAUUUAGAAAAAGCUUAUGAUCAUCUCCUGACAUUCAAUAUAUUAAUCUCUUAUAUAUAUGCUCUAAUGACAUUUUUCUAUGCUUUAUUUAAAGCUAACCAAACCUCUUGCCAAAGUGUUCAAAAAAAAUUUUCAGAAUCACUUACCAAUUUUCAAAUUAUUGUCCUAAAAUUUGGUAUAUGCCUCCCUCAAACCACUUAUCUCGAUAUAAAGAAAGAAGUAUGCAAUCGGUUUAACAUCUAAGAAGGCAACUUUUCUAUCGAGCAUCCUAAAACUAUAGUAACCCUUUGGCAAGAGGGUGUCUUCUCAUGUUCUUAAACAAACUGUAACCAAGAUCACCAAUAAAAUUGGGACUCGGCAAUGAUCCUUUCUCUCAAACUGACACGAUCAUUCUUAUUAAGUCAAUCUUGAAUAUUAUAUCCUAACACUCUUUUAGGUAUAACUUGAAUGCCUCAAUCUGUGUAUUAUCGGGCUAUGGCUUUAUUUCAAGAGCUUUUACAUAAAACCAAUGAUAGGAUAGGGUAAAUUAAAUCCAAAGUUACUUGGAACCCUCUUCGGAGAGCCUCUUGCAAGAGAGGGUCAUUCUGAGAAACAGUGACCGGAGGCUACUGCAAUAAAGGAAUGAUUAUUCUCAACGAAACAACUGAGAUUUAUAAGAUACACAUUGAAAGAGACUCGAGGAUGACGACGAUGGAUCUCGUGACACUUGAAACUGCUCUCUCUCCCUUGAAGAAUCCGUAGUUUGAUUCAAGAUAUAGUUGCCAAUCUUUCUUGAAAUUUAAAAUCUUAUAUGUACGAAGGAGAAAUUAAUUACUUGUAAUGUGUUUUCUUUUGAUUGGUUGUGAUGGGAAUGGGAACCAUUGAUUGGUUGUGCUCAGCUUCUUAAUAUAAUUUUCACUUCUUUGGGAAAAACAAAUAAACAAAAACAAAAAUGUUACAUGCUGAUAUCAUUGCUGAUCUGACAUGUUACUCCUUCCUAGCCAUAAUCGAAUAAAUACAAGGUAAAGGCAUUGCUUAGAAACACGCUUACUCUCACUUGCACUUUGUCCGAUUUAUCUUCCAAUGAAUCUAUUUUGGGUUGGCUUUGUCCACAAUAAAGUCUGCUCUAUGGAGCAGAAUCAAGAAAUCACUUUACCUAAACAUAACAAAAGCACAGUUCAAUGAUCAAAAGAAAUAACAGCAGAGCGCUACAAGGCUUAGAAUUUUUUAGUUGGUGGUGGAUGAGCAAGGCACAAAAUUUGCAGGUUGGAACCUCUUGAUUUACCUCCAUCCGCUAUGAAUCUGAUCCAAAUCAGAUAUCAGGAAUUUGGACAUCUUCCAACCAUCUCAACUCUGCAUGUGCAAUCACAUGGAUACUCAUCAUGCCAUAAGAAAAAACAUGAGAAAAGCUCUCAGACUUUCCAAAGUAUCAGCACCACCAGAAUGGGAAGUAGCUGUGAUGCUAUCUUGCUAAGAAGACGAUAUCGGCACCAUAGUGAUGACGCCAAUUGUAACAAUAUGCUCCAAUUUUUAACUCGGGAACAGGGACUGAUUCUGAGCACAGCAAAUUGGAAGGAUAAUAACUGAUCCAUAUGUGCCAAUCCCAAAUACUGCGGCAGGCAUCUAUCAAGAAACAAUAUCAUGGGUUUAAUUCAGUCCAUAAACAUGAAGUGAAUUGAAAAACCAAGAUGAAACCAUACAGAUGAGAAAAUCAAGCAACGGAAAUGAUCAAUGGCAUUAAAAGCCUGCUAUUUAGCAAAGACUACUCAAACCAUUUACUGUUGAAUGGUUGCCAUGGCAGAAAAGAGAUGCCAUUCUCUUGGUGUUUUGUUAAAGGCAGGAGCAACCAUAGGGCCGUGUCCAGUGUCAACCAUAAAAAUUUCCUUUAUAUGACAGUCAUUUAAAAUUGACACUUUCAGCAUAAUAUAAGACUACAUAAUUUGCUUGAUAGAUGUGAACUGAUGGUUAUGAUGCCGGAUAAUGAAAGGAAUGCAACUUUUAUACAUGAAAAUCUCCAUUAUUUCAGAUCUAAAAGAGAAUGGCGUAAAGUCCUGGAAAACAAUAACAUGUCGCAGAUUCUUGCUUGCUUUUGCAAAGAUUACCACAACCAAAAAGGUGGUCUGAUCUUUCCGACAAUGGUUGCCCCGAAAAAACUAAUUAUGGUAAAGUGGGAGAACCAUUAAAAUUGUGAACAAAACAAGCAAUUCAAGCACACAUAGCCAUUGAUUUUAGGCAUACCUAACGAUAAUUCUUCUAGCAUAUCAGACAAGGCUUCCCUGAGCUCGUUCCUUCCCAGCCAUCAUCAUUUGUUGAAAUUGCAAAAGCUUCGUUUUCCUUAUAUCAAUAAUAUUUUUCGGCAUCUGAUCAACAUGACCAUAUUCCUCCACCAGGCGAAAGAACUCCUGCUUGGUGAGACUUUUCUUCUGAACUAAUUGGUCAACUAUCACAUCCAUUAACUCUUUAUUGCGUCGCAAUAUCUACAGAAUAUCAAUUCGAUUAUGCAAUUUAAUCCACAUAACUAAGAUUUACUAAAAGUAAGGUUACAGGAACAUAGUAAAUACCUCUUUUGCUCGAUCAUAGCAAUUGUUCAGUAACCGCUGUGCCUCCAGAUCAAUAUCCUGGUUAAAUAUUCAUUGUCAGACAUACAACACUUUUGGCAGUGCAUUCAAAAAUUACAAAAUUAUAGAAGGUACAUUGAUCCGAUCUGCAACCCAGAAGUUGGACAGUCCAUGAUAUUUUUCUGAGAGGCCACCAAGAACAAAGGAACGUGCAGCUGACCUUGCAUUGUCUGCUGUUUCUGCCCAAAUUGUACUCAGCUGUAAUUGUAUGUACAACAUUUUCAUCUUAGUCACAUUGGUUCCAAGGGACACUGAGGAACUAAAUUUUUAACACAGCUAACCAAUCUAUAUUAACGACAUUAAAGAUGUACACCGGUUGGUAAUGCCUGAGUACUAGAUAAACUGAAGAACCAUAUUCAGAAAGAAACAAGGAAAAUAUAUAUCAUUAGUCAUUACCAAUUGAAAGCCCAUUAUGAUGUGUGUAUUAUCAAGUUGGUGACAUCCAGUAUAGAAAGAAAACUGAAAAAUAAUAAUUUCAUUUUCACCCAAAACAUAUAACAUGUGAAUUGAACCAGCCUGCAAUCCAUUUGAUAAAGAGGUCAACUCAAAUCAUACUAUCAGACAAUUAACUCAUUUUCAACAACAUUUGACCUUAAACUCAACAUAUAGUCAUAUACUGUCUAAUCAACUCAGCAGUAGUAAACAGCACAUUGUUUUUGGUAAUGAUAGUUUUAACACGCAUAACUUAGUUUAUCACUCAGGUCAAUUUGCGAUAGUUAGAAGAAGCGAAAUGAUUAAUGUUAGUAGUAAGAGAGGAGGCAGAGAAAACUAUAAAUAAAGAUUUGAAUACUCUAAACAUAUGUCUCUUUACGGACCUGAAUGAUGGCAAAAGAUCCGUGUAACCGAUUCCAAAUAAUUGAGACUUAAGGCUUAGUUGUUGUUGUUGUCAUCAUCAAUUUGGAUCAAUCGUGUCAAUGCGUAAUGCUUGAAAUCAGACCAUUAAUUAAUCAGGUUAAUCCUGUCAACCUAAAUAUAACCCAAGGCCUCUCUUACCAUGUCGUGUUUGUGGUGGGUCCAGAAUUGCCACCCCAUGGCUGGAUAGUAGUACUGGGCUACUAAAGUAAGCUCUGAGCACCAGGCCAUUUUCAUGCAACUUGUUUGAACAAUAUAUCUGUGACCUGUUAGAAUGGUCAUUGCAUGUAAGAUUUUUCAACGGCUUCAAUGAGCCCUAGCAUCCCUUGCAAGAAUGAGUUCUCUUUCCCGUUGAAGCAUUAACAUAAUUAAUGCUGAUUCAAGGCCAAGCAUAAUAGAGAACAAAACAAUAGAUACAUUAUGUGAAACCAACAUAAUUAGAAGAACCAAGGAUUUACUAUGCUAGUGCAUAGUGCAUGCUACACAAUUGUCUCAGAUAUGGCAUCGACAUGCAGUGGAUCAUAAACAGGGAAAUGGCAUAGUGCAGCACCAGUGGCAUGGUACACAGCAUGAACCAUAAAGAACUAUGACAAACAGGGGCUGACUAUAAAGCAUGACCUUGUGAACCAGGGCUACUCCAACUCAAAAGACCUGUGAGUAAGAAGUGCUGCGUAACAGAUACAGGCUAACUUACUCUAAGUUAGAUAUCACUACGUAUCUACAAUUGAAACAAACCCCGCAAAAAUAAAAUUUAUGCUUUAUUACCUUUUAACUAGCAGAAUCAAAGUUAACACAACUAUGACAAUCAAUCAAGUCAAGUACAAAUCAAUCGUGAAUUCGUAGAAUCAAGUAUAGCAGGUUUUUACUUCCUAUAAUAUAUCAUGUAAAAGGACAACAAUACAAGCAACAACGGAUUAGUCCCUUUCAACAAAUGUGUCCUUCCAAACAAGAAAAUUAAAUAUGGUACACCUUCAAUUACCUGAUUCUCACCAAACCAGAUUUCAUCAGCAGCCCGAGGGGCUAUCUGAACAGUGAUAUGAUCAAUCAGGGACUGGCGGCUGUAAAAAUAAAAAAACACAUAAGCCAAUCAUUUUAAAAAAAUUGCCCAACUUAAAAUAAGAUACAGCUAAAUUCAGGUUCUAUUGCCAAAAUUUUUACACCCCAUAUGCUAUUUAAAGUGCAAUAUUGGAACUUGAUGCACCAAGAAACAAAAAUUUUGGUUCCAAAAGAAAGAAGUACCUAAGCAUUCCUUUUGUAAAUUUAAUAUGAUCCAUCUUGACUCGCACAUAACCCAAUUCUCUGCCAGCUCGAGGUGCAAUGGUUAUCUGGAUGGAGAAACAAGGCUUCAACUACUAAAAAUCAUAUAAAUGCAGCUUCAAUUGAUGACUCUAACUAGCUUCAGGAAGAUUAUUAUGCAUAUAAACAUGUAAGAAUACAAACAUGUCCCCAUGACAGGUGCGAGUGCCAAAUCGGCAGUAUAGUUCAUAAUAAGAUCAUAGCUGCAAUUAGUAUCGGCAUAAUGAUCACUAAGUGUCUAUUCUAGACAGAUGGAUGCAUGAUUAAAUAAAUAUAAUGAAUUGAUCCUGUGAGUAAUAUGAAAAAGUGCUGCACAGAAAUGCGUCAAUUUAUAAAGCAGAGAGUACAGACAGUACAAACUCAAUGUUCUUUAGAUCAGGGAAGUUGACAGCUACAAUAGCCAUAGCUGCUUCAUUUAGAGCCAAUCGUUUCCACAUCUCUGGCCUCCUAUCCUUUUUAUCAAGCAUUCCUCUUUCUUCAAUUUGUGCAGCUUGUAAUAAGUCAUCAGUUGUUAUCUGGACCAGUGCAAAUAAUUUAAUAAAAUAGGUUAAGGACACCCUGAUAAAAUAUAGCAACCAUAGCAGAAAAGCAUCAAGAAGUGCAAUCACAAUCAGAUAUUAGCAUUGAGUGACAUCCUUGAUGUGCCAAGUCCAUCAUUCUUUUAUACUCCACAAUAAUAUACAAUUUGAUUUUUUUAAUUGAUCUAGACAAGAAAUAUGGUGCAAGAGCAUUUUUAUACCCUUCCAAGCCCCAGCUGUCAGAGAGAUCAACCACAAAGGUGGGAAAAAUGUGCAGAUUACACAAGAUGGAAAUCAAUCCUAAACAUCCCCAUGAUAGGGGGGGGAGAGAGAGAGAGAGAGAGAGAGAGAGAGAGAGAGAGAGCAAACAGCUAGUGAUACUAAUAAUAUAUGCUAAAACAAAUACAAUAAAUGUACAUCAAUUUUGCAACGUUGGAGACAAGUCGCUCGUAAUAUAUGCAAUUCUCACAAGAUACAAAAUGACAAUAAUUUAAGAACAACUUAAACUAGAUAAUCUAGCUCCGUUAAUUAGAGAAACAUACAACAGAACAGAAAAGCUGGAGAGUAGAAUAGACUCUCUCUCUCUCUCUCUCUCUCCUUAUUUCUACACAAGACAAAAAAGAAAUGAAAUUUACUAAUACUAGAGAAAGUAGGAUGUUUUUCUCUUUUUUGUUCAUUUUUGACCAGUGAUGUCCAUGCGGUGGCCCAGAAAGUUAAUGGUCUGAAUGCAGAGUAGCUUAUAAGGGAUAAUAUAAUUAUAGCAUUAACUAAACUGUUAGUUCAUCCGACAAUAAUCUUAUCCAACCACUGUAUUAAUGCAGUAUUUCACAAACUAAAUAGUCAUCCUAGACAAUGAACAUCUCAUAUCAGGAUGCAUUUGUGCAACCAAAAAGAGUGAUAUCAGUUAACUACUUAAUAUAUAUUAGAAUCAUCAAAGAAUUAGACCGACUUGCAAGAGGUAGUUUACCUCAGACCUUCCAUCACGUAUCAUAUUAAUGGCAGCAAUUUCAAUAAUGUUUGCCAGCUCAGCACCAACCAUUCCAUUAGUCAUACUGGCAACUGCCAUAUAAUCCACAUCAUCAGCCAUUGGCUUUUUCCGAGCGUGAACCUGUUAGGAACAAAGCCAAAGUUUUUUCGUUGCAAAAAAAGAACAUAAAAUCUUUUAAUUAAUUUUGCUUCGGCAGAAAACCUAUAAAAAAAAAUAGUUUGAGUGCUGCAUGUUUGCGUGCUUAAUAUAAUAAAAAGAACAUAUAUAGCUGAACUGAACAUAUGAAUUUAAACAAAUGAAGCAUCUAAAAAACUGAAAAAAAGAGACUUUCACUCAGAGUAUAAAGCCAAACAAAAUUAGGAGAGCACAAAAACCUAAAUAUUUGACUCAGCUUUCCCUUGAAAUUCUCAAAAGAAGAAACAUUAAAAUGACCAAUUUAAACAGACAUUUGCAGGCUCAAGCCAAAAUAAGAAAAACUGUAUAAAAUGACUUUUACAGAAAAUACACUACUGAUGCAGCAGAUUCUAUCAUGUUUGUAAUGCAAAGCUCAAAACUAGGGCUGUUGGCUUUUGCAAAUACAAAUCUCUUCAACAAUGAAUUGCCAUAGGAAUAAUAAAAGCUAAAAGGCCAACCCUAUGAGCAUGUACAGAUAAUACAGAAUAGGUAAGCAGGCAGAAGCUCCUACAAGGAAAACUGGUCAUUGGAAAACCCAUAGAAACUUUUGACUAAACAUCUCAUGUCAAAUGAAUUAUCACAGUUAGUAAAUUAGACUUUAAUACCUUCAGAAUCUCAAUUCGACCAAUUAGACUAGGCUUUGGUAUGAAUAUUUUUCUAUCAAACCGCCCUGGUCUCACAAGAGCUGGAUCAAGGAUAUCUGGUCUAUUGGUUGCAGCUAUGGUAAUUACAUUGCCUCUUCCUUCAAAGCCAUCCAAGCAUACAAGGAGCUUCAGUGAUUACAAGAAGAUAAGGAUGUCAAAUAUAUUAAACUUGUAAGAUAAUCAACUAUAAUAAGAAUAGCAGCUGUUCACCAUUUCCUUUCUUUUACCUGAUUGAGUGUGGCAUCUCGUUCUUGUCCACCAGAACCCUUGAUAAGACCACGUUCUCUUCCAACAGCAUCUAGUUCAUCAAUAAACACAACAGCAGGAGCCUAGAAAACAUUCAGAAAAUAUUUUUUAAGGUCAAACUGAGGCCAGCAAUAACAUUAGACUUCAAAUAGCAAAUAAGUGUAAAGUGAUCAGCAUCUCGGCAUAUAAACAGCACUUUUACACUAAACAUGUAGUAUAAGCGUAAACAAACAAACAAACAAAAUAGUAUACAGAGAUAAGAAAUAACACUAAAAAGAUUAACUAAAAACAUGGGGAAACUAUAAUUUACUGCUAUGUUGAGCAUAUGAAAUUGUUAGAAAGAAGAUUCAAUGCAACUCGCCAGGGCUUACAUUUUCCUUGGCUUCUUGGUACAGUGCACGAACACGAGAAGCACCAACACCAACAUAUAUUUCCACAAAUUGUGAAGCUGAAAUUGAAAAGAAGUUCACACCAGCCUCACCAGCAACAGCUUUCGCUAAUAAUGUCUUACCCACACCAGGAGGCCCACACAGAAGUAUGCCACCUAUAUCAUAGCAGUAUUAGCAGAUAUAUGAGACCAUAAUGUUGAAUGAAGGCUUUUAUACAUAAUAAACUGUAUGUGUUACAAUUCUGGAGAAGGAAGAAUUAUUAAGACCUGUAGUGUCUGAUAAUCAUUUAGUAAUUAAUAAAAUCAAACUUUGAAGCUUCAGUAUCUGAUAAUUUGUUAAGUUCUGAUAUAGAAAAUAGAAUAAAUAGUUUCAGAGUGUUGUAAUUUGUAAAUAUUCACUAAGGCCAUUUCCUUUAUUCUUACUGGAUCCUACUGUUUCUGCCCUACGUCUGGUUUAGGUGAAAAGGUGAAUCAUAAAGGGCGAAAAGGAAUAAUCAAUAUCAAGUCCACAUCAAAGAAUCACAUGUGAUUAAUAGGCAUGCCCUAUCCAAAAAAAAAAGAUGAAACAAUAAUCUGAAGUAGUUACCCAACAAGAACCAGAUGGACUCAAUUUUUUGAUCCGGCCUAAAACACAUCACCAACUAGCUUGACAAGUUCAAGAGAAAUUACCUGUUGUAGAUGCCUCAAAUUAGAAAAUAGAUACUUGCAUACAGAGAUUCAGCGAGAAAAUAGUCAGGUUCUACCUGAUAAGCUCAAUCUCUUCAGGAUACUAAACUUUUAUACUUCACAACAUAUGCAGAAAUUGGCAAAACCAUGGGAGAUAAAUAUGUUUGCCAAUACUCCAAAUUUUGUAUUAAUGGUCAAGUCUUGCCCUAAAUAUCCAGGUUGCUUAGGAAAUUUUUGAGUUCACCAGUUUUUCCAGUUAUGCAAACUGGCAAAAUAUUGAUGAACGAGUCAUCUCAGAUUUGUUUUAAGCAACUUCCAAGUUGCUGAGAAAUCUUUAGACGCUUUAAGCAACUACAAGCAGAACACCUAUUCACGGUUUCAAGUGCUAAUGUAAUAUAAUCCAUCCAAAGCAUUUAUCCAGCACUUGUCAUACUUCCAUGUGGCUUCAAAACAGAUAACUACAUUUAUCCACCAUUUUUCAUGCAUUCAUGUGACUACAAAACAGAUGACAAUUUAAAGGAAUAAUAUUAAAGAAACAGAUGACUACACAGUAGAAGAACUAACAAAUGAUACAAUAAUAGAGAAGUAAAAGAAAUAUGUGCUUAACAGGAUUAUGAUAGCAUAUGCACCGAUUAUCAUGCUAUGACAUAGUGCUCUCUCUCAGUAUAACCAUAUAACCAUGAAAAAUAAUAACAGACACAACGUACAGCAAUAACAACAAUAACAACAACGACAUGUCAUCUUUGCAACUAUUUGGGGUAACAUACCCAACCUCAACACAUAAAUCAAGUAAUGUGAUACAGCAUGGAGAAUCAUGUAAACUUUGGGUCAGUGGAAUAUUUCAUAAAGACCAUAAGCAAAAUGAAAAAAACCAACAAUGGAAAGCAAAUUUAUGUGCUCAUGCUUCAAACUUAGGAAUAGGCAGAUUAUGAGUUAUAGCAUCCGUAUCAGAUCAUGCAUGUUCUUGAUGCAUCUUUUAACCAAGUAACAAGCAAUUAUCCUGUAGUUAACUAUUAUUUUAAGAAUUCGACAUAAAGAAUGCCAAUCAAAGCCAAGUAACUAUGAGUCUGUGGCAUAAGCCACUAUACAUGGAUUAACUAGCUCAACAUAACCUGUGAAGAAAACUAUUUUAAGCCUCACUCUUCAGAGCUUUGUUCCAGAAUGAGAGACUGAAUAAGACAUUGACUAUGCAUGCCUAGUGUAACUCCAAUGAGAUUGUCAGACUAUAAUCUGCAUUAAGAAGAAACACUAUAACAAUCUAAACAAGGACCCUUACCUGGUAUUUUGAUGCCUCUUCUCCUGUACAUUUCCCCCAAUGUGAAGAACUUCACAAUCUCCUCAAGCUCUAGCCUUAUUUUCCCAAGACCAGCAACAUCGCUAAACUUGACAUCGACUCCCCUCUCCAAGUAUUGUGGUACUUUACUAUUCGCUCGCCUCACCCGAGCACCUGACUGCAUAAACUUCAUUGCCAUCUUCAUAUAAGGAUUCUGCUCAUCUCCUCUCUCCUCGCUCUCAUCUUCCCCUGGUCCCUCAAGUCCUGCCAUUUCCCUCUCCAACUGCCUCAUUUUCUUCCGUUCCUCUGCCUCUGCCUUCUCAAUCUUCAGCCUAUCUUCAUAAUCCUUCUGCUGCUUCCUAUAAUUAAGCACAACAGUUCUGUAGAAGACGUAGAAUAUCACGAACCCAAUAGCAGUGGCAACAUUCUUGUCCCUCGCCAUAUCAUCCCACAUAUAGGCCAUCCGCUGAUAAUUCUUUCUAGCCUGCCGUAGCGACUCCUCGUAUUUGGCCUUCUUAAUCUGUUUCCUCCUCUUCCUUUCCUCCGCCUUCUUCUGUGCCUUCAUAAUUUUCUCCAUCGCCUCCCUCUCUGCCCUCACUCUUGCUAACUCUUCUCUCCGCCUCUCUGCCAGCUCCUUCCGUGCAUUCUCAAGCUCCAACACACGCUUUGACUUGGGUUUGGGCUUCUCCAUUGACAGAAAGUGGCCUGGAAUGUUUACCAACCACCCCAAAUAGGGGGUGGGGACUUCCGGCUUCCGGACCGGGGGGGUAUAUGCAUUGAUGCAAAAAGAAUCCAACUCGAGCCGAUCCCAGGACUCCCAAAACCUCUCAUCCCUCUCGGCCGCCGGCAGCACCGCCCGAAGGACCCUGGAAUCAUCGAGGACGACGAGCACCAGGUUCGGCCGCAGCUUCAAGGUGACGGAAGGUGGCUUCACGAUAUGCCGGAGCUUCCCUUCGUCCCUAAGGGUCAAGAUUUCGGUAUAUGGAAUACGGUCGCCGACAGUGGGGAGGCCGCGGGACCAGGAUUUGAGCUCCUCAGGGGAAAGGGUCUCCGCCGGGCGCUUUGGCCUCGGCUUCUUCUCGGUGACCCCAGCGUGAGCACGUGGCAGCGGAAGCGAGGAGGAGAUGACGGUCAUGGUGACGGAGAGCUGGAGCAACAUGGUGCAAUUCUUCUUGGCUUCCUCCUCAUUCUGGUCAUCUAGCGGUGGAUUGACGGAAUUGCGUGGAACGAAACAUUUGCGCGGAAUCGAGCGGAAAGGGGCUUUUGGUGGGGAUGGGGCGAGGGGGAGGGAGGAGAAUAGGAGAGAGCUCGAUGCAGCGAGCUCCAUGGUCCAGGAGGGGCACCGAGAAGAGGGUUUGGAUCACAUCGACGAAGCAAUAGCGUCUCAACCGAGGAAGGAUGGGAACGGCUGCGGAUAGAUCACAGCCAUUUGUGCUCGCUGUGAUUCGUGUAGGAAACUUUAAACGUUGGGCCCGGCCCAUCAAAGGCCCCGUCAAAGAACGAGCUUCGUUUCAAAACGGUAUUCUUUAUGUAUCUGUUACAUUAUAUUAAAACGGCACAUAAUUCAUGAUUGUUUGAUAUGACCGUUAUAUAAUAUCCGAUAUAUCCGAUAUUACUAACGGUCCUCGUAACGCUAAGAGGGAGAAGUGAGGUGGGAAUAAGGGGAGAGAGAUUAGCGCUGCGAGGAUUGGCGAUGGCUCGCGCUCUCCUAUCUCAGUUGCUCAUCCUCUCCGACCGCCCCCCUCGCUUCUCCACAUCGAUCAUGUCCGUGCUUCGCCAUUACUGCGUCUGCUUGGGUUUCUUCUCUGUCUUUUCGGAUUUCGAUCUUCCAAGUCGGUGAACUUAUUUCUUGGUAAAUCGAAACAGCGGCCGUGGUCGAGAUCUCACAAGAACCCGAGGAGCUGUCCCGUCUCGUUUCCCUCUCUUGCCCGGCUUGGACUUUAGAUGCAACUGCACCGCUUCCUCUCCUGUGGCCGAGGCCCCCGGGGUUUCUCCCAGCCCUAUUAGGUAAGCGUUUGUGAUAUUAUCUUUGUUGUUGGACUGCUCAGAUGCUGUUCCGGGUGUCCCAUGUGAUUUUUACGGUUUAACAUUAACAUUGCUUCCUGGUGCCUUUCGAUGGAAAAAGGUCUAAACUUUGAUCCAAGAAGAGCUUUUUCUGGUCUAAUCAAGUCAAUUGUUUAUAGUCGUAUAGACUGUUAGUGGUUAGUGACUGAUGAACUUAAUCGAUAAAUAUUUCUUUCCAAAGGAAUCAAUUUGGAGCUUCCUUGGGCUCAUUGAAGCUUUCCUAAUUCAGUUUUGAGUCUCGCCAUCUUUAUAGCGUUUCAUCUUUCAAUGUCUUGACUAUGGUCAUUCUGGUAAUGUACUUACAGUUUGUCUCCGUAUAUGUCUGUUUAUUUAUCUAGUCAGUCAGUAGGAUCUUAUUAUAUAAUAUGUUCUACUAUUAACUAUAUUGAUGCAAACAUAAUUUUCUGGUCAUAUCCAAUUCCAAUAAUCAAAUAUUUGAACUAUUCAGUGUUAAGAACUCUAACUUCUAUCUAAAUCAGUAAAUCUCAGCAUUUCACCUGGGUUAAUUUGAUUGCCUUUUUCUUGAUGCUUCAGACAUUGUAUGCACCAGUAUAUUGCUCUUUGACCUUCUCUAGUGAAUAGUCUUCUGACCUUUAGUAUCAUAAGGAGAGAAUUCCGUCGAUGUUUCUACUUAGAGAUGUUCAAUAUUCUUUCUUACAAGCAUUUCUUUUCUGCAAACUAUUGUUGAAGUUUGAGAUGCAAGAAUGUAGGACCCAAUAGAUUUGGUGCUUUUGCAAGGUAACAUUGGUUCUGCUUGACAUGUUUAGUCAGUGAGAUCACAGUAGAUACUAAUGUUUGUUAACAGCAUCAUCAUAGGAAUUAUAUAACUUUAAGCAAUUGUUCUCCUGAUCUAUCAUGAUGAACUGAGAAAUCUUUUCGAUGAUUUGUCUAACCUAUGCUAGGAUCAUAUUGAGAAUCUUAGAGAACAAAUAGAUUUAAGAAGACUAUAUAGUUCCCAAGUAGUUUAAAAAACUAAUGACAAAACCAAUCCUGAACUUACAGAAAAAUUGAAAAAUCUAUUUCAUUGCUGUAUACUUAGCAGCUCGAUUAUGAAUUAUAGUUUAAAAAUUUAAUGACAAAAAUCUAUCCAGAAAUCACAACAAUUUUAGCAGCUUGAGGAUGAAUUGUUGGCAUUAUGAUGAAAAAUUACACAGUAAAACUGAUGCUAGUGUUAUGCAUGAACAAAUGCAAAAAAUUUAGAUACUUUCUCUUGUUUAUAUUGAUGAAAAGCAGCAGCUUUGGCUAUCAUAUAUACCAUGAGAUUGCUACUUUUUCAUGUAACCUAUUGAAGUACAUUUUGCUGCAUCUUUUAUGUGUGAUUGCUACUUUCUCAUGUAACCUAUUGAAGUACAUUGUGCUGCAUCUGUUUUGUGCGAUUAACUUGGUUUCUGAAUGCUUUAACAAUCAGGAAAAGGGUUGUUUCUGGGGUCCAACCUACGGGAUCAGUACACCUUGGAAAUUACCUUGGUGCAAUUAAAAAUUGGAUUCUCCUUCAGGUUAUUUCACUUUCUUUCAUUAUUAUCUUAAUCUCAAGUUUUUCAGAUGCAAAGUUGACAGCUAUUUAAGGAUGAUUGAACUAAAGAAUUAUCCUGAUAUAUCUAUGUGAUGCAUGAUCUUGCUUAUAAGCCACUUAGAACUAAAGUCCUAUAUUUUCGUUAGUAUUAACUAUCACUAAAUUACUCAAUUUAAAUCCGAAUAUGGAAUUCGAUCAUAUGGUACAAAUAUUGUGGAAUGAUAAAGAAUCAAUGCUUCCUGCUCUAGUAAUUCUGUAACACAAAAUAAACUGUAUGUAUUAUGUGUUACAGUGCUUAGUACUUUUAGUUUCUGUUACUUCCGCAGUCUUCCUUGCAUGGUUAACAGCAUUACACUACUCCUGGUCAUGAUUUUAGUUUCUGUUCUCAUGUACAUUAUCAUUGUCAUGGGUCCAUGAUUUUGCCAAGUGUAUGCCAGUACACCCUUUUGCAGAUUGUUGGCUUGUAUUGGUCACAUGAUAAUGGUGUAGGGUAUGGCAUCUAAAGUUGGAUCUUUUUUUAAUUUUCUGCUGCUUCAAUAAGCAUGUAUGUUUUGAAGAUCAGAAUUUCUGAAUGACUUAAAAGAAAGAGCCAUUGUUCAAUACUUUUACAUGUUGGCAUAAUGAUGUUAUUUUCCUGAUCUUGCUAUCUGUUGCAGGAUACUUAUGAUACACUCUUCUUCAUUGUAGACUUACAUGCAGUAAGUUUCCUUGGAUCCUUGACUUUUUAAUCAUGACAUGAACUUAGUACUGCUACCUGGUCUAGUAUAAGAGUAUCUAAUAUCUCAAUUAUAACUCCUUUUUUGUUGUAGAAUAUUAUUCUGAAUUUGUUAACGUAAAUAUCAUUUACCUUGCUAAGACUUUCUCUUAAAUUUGGCUGAUUUCAAAAUUGUUGAUCUUUUGAUGUCUUUUACAGAUCACACUACCAUAUGAUACCCCAGAGUUGUUGAAAGCAACAAGAAGUACAGCUGCUAUAUAUCUAGCUUGUGGUGUCGACCCACUCAAGGUCUAUGAAUGUCUUUACUAUUUGUAGUUGAUAUCUUUUGUUAUUUUCAUUUUCCAUCCAGCGUUUUAGAGGUACUGUCUGCAUUUUCAGGCUUCAAUAUUUGUGCAAUCUCAUGUCCGUGCUCAUGUGGAGUUGAUGUGGCUGCUCAGUUCUGCUACACCACUUGGUUGGCUGAACAGGAUGAUCCAAUUUAAAGAAAAAUCUCGGAAGGCGGUGUGUGCCGCUGUCACAGGCUUUAUCACUUUUUUUAAAAUUUUCUUUUCUAAUAUAACGUUCUACUAAUUUGUUUUACUUAUUUUAACUUCACUAUUUUUACAUAUCUAUUUGGAUUUAUUGUUUACAAUAAUUAAAUGUCAAAUAUCAGUUACAAUUUUAUAUUUAAUGGUGAAAAUUUUACUUUCAUUAGUGACCCAUUAUCUGAAAUGUAUAUGAAUACAUAUGACAGUAGAUAGAGAAGCUGCUUGACAAUCUAGACAGGCAUUCCAAAUCCUAGUAUCAUCUUUUGAGUCCUUAGGUGGAUAUCAUGCACCAUAUAUGUGGAGCACAGUAGAAUUCAUGUGGGGUGGGACUUCAUGUGCAUUCCAGGGAGAGAGAGGGAGUGUGCAGAACUUUUAGUCUAUUUGUUUAAUGAAUCACCGGAGAAAUAUAUUUGGAACCCUUAUUUAUUUUUAUGUGCUGCUUCUUCAAAUCUGAUACCUAUGUGAAGUGUCAUUCUUCUAUUCAUAGGGAAAUGUCUUAUCUUCUUUAGGUAGUUCCUUAAGAGAUCUUGCUACUUUAUGUUCACUUAGCAGAAACACAAACCAGCACAGAUGUGUUUAGGUUUGCGUGUACCAAUGCAUGUUUAAGAAGAUUGUUGAGGAAUCAUUGAGAGGAAACCAUAAGUUAGGUGUGAUCAUCACAUACCCAAGUUGCUUCUGGUCCAGGAAGAAGAGUCUCUCAAGCAUUUUCUGUAAUUGUAAUGAAGGGAAGACCUAAGUUUGAGACUGUUCUACAAUUUUAACUCAUUUUGAAUCCUUUUAAGAACUGAUACUGAGUUCCUAUUGAUACAUAUUGAUCACAUAUUAUGCAUUUUUCAAGUACUACUAUUCAUUAUCCAGAAAAUGCAUAAAACUGUAUAUGAAAAGUGAAUGGUUUUGGUUUGAUAUCUGGAGAAUAGGACAGUGAUUUUAGGAAAAUUGCAUACCUACAUGCAAGUUUGUGCCCAAUAUGGAUGCGGACUUCCUUUUGCAAAUAUAUGAAUCUGUAUUUAUAUAUUUCAAGCAAUCUUCUGGAUAUCUAUAUGUUACAUUCUCCAUUUCACAAAAAUUGCAUGAGUUUGAUACUUUGCUGUGUAUGAAAAUAAGAUAAACGGUGCUUUUUUCUUGAAGCAUUUGAACUAAACUUACUACUCUUUGGUAGGGUGAUGAGAAUGUCGGAGUUUCACUUUUAACUUAUCCUGUCCUAAUGGCUUCAGAUAUUUUGUUAUAUCAGGUAAAUUAUCGUCCCAGUUGUAUAUCUUCAGGGGCUGUUUUACUAUGAAUAAUAAUAUGUAGUUGGAAAUGACUUAGCUCUGUUAGAUUUUGAGACUAUAUUAUACUAAAUAUUUGGCUUUUAAGCUAAUUGGUUCUAUUCCUAGAAUUUUUCAAUAUGGACAACGUGCUAUCAAUCUAUCAAUCUGACAUUUAAUGAUCUGUCACACUAUUCUUGGUCAUGUUCGUGCAGACUGAUUUGGUACCAGUUGGUGAGGAUCAGAAACAACAUUUGGAACUUACUCGUGAACUAGCUGAACGCAUAAAUUAUUUAUACGGAGGAAGGAAGUGGAAGAAACUGGGGGGGUAGUAAGAUUUAUUUUCUUAACACGUUUAAUUCAGUGCCAACAAUGAACCUUUUUCUUUUUUUUUAUUUUCACCGUAAUCUGAUGGUCAGUAAACUAUUUGCAGGAGAGGUGGUACACUGUUCAAGGUUUCUUUUUUUCUUAAUGGAACUGAAUUUUUCACAUCGAGCUUUCGAGCAUAUUGUCUUUGUUGCUUCCUGUAUCAAUUUUCUUGACAUCAUCUAUCUAUUCUUAGGUUCCUGAAGCCCUUAUUCCACCUACUGGGGCCCGGGUGAUGUCCUUGACUGAUGGUCUUUCAAAGGUAAAAAUUUUCUGAAAGCAUUUCAUCGAGGCUUAUGAAACAAUCUUUAUGAUAUCAAGUUAGACAAAUGGUACCCAUGUUCUCAGAUGGGUUCAAGCUUAUUUGCUGAUACUCAGUAGACCCUUUAGACCUGUUGGUUUUCCUCCAUUAUUUCUCUGCUUGUAGUGUGAUAUAAAAUCUAUGAUUUUCACUUGUUGUGGUUGAUAGAUGUCGAAGUCUGCUCCUUCAGAUCAGUCUCGGAUCAAUCUUCUUGACACAAAAGAUGUAAGGAAUUGAUGCCAGAUAGGAUGAUUCUCUUACUGAUGAGCUGUAUCUUGCCUUGCAUUCUCAUUGCUAUUUUAAAUUGAUGAUUUAAUAUUUCUUGUCUGCUAAGAAAAGAGGAAAUGCUGAUGAAUUAGAGGUGCAUUUGGAAGAAAACAUGAUACAUAUGCUUGAACAUAGAAGUAGAACACACGAUAAGGGUUCUGACAUUGAAGAACUUCGGUGGCAUAUUUACUGUUGGAGUUCACUUCUGCCUUUUCUCAUUACUCCUUAGUCUUCACAGCUCAUGGUUUGCUCUUUGUCUUAUUCAUGUUAUUCUUGUGAGCUAUUAACAAGCAUAAUCUGAAGCAUUCUUAAGUUUUUAAAGUGUGCAUAUUCCUUUCCUGUCCAAUAUUAUUUCUAGCAAUAAUUUCAAAUAACUUCUAAAGGGAGCAUCGCAUUUGGUCCUUCAUCAUGUCAGAUUAAUAGGUUUGGACGUUAAGUAGAUGACUGGAAUUUCAACAUAAGCUAUUUAUCUUCACGUCAAUAAAUAGAUGGACUAAAAACAUGUAUAUAAAAUUUUGAGACUAGUUUGGCCUUCUACUUUCUUCAUAUUCCUUUUAAUUAACAUAAAUGUGAUGUUGAAUAACCAUGUAGCACUAGUAUUUUAUUAAACAUAAUUGUUAUUGAGUUUUAUUUUGUUGCCUCUUUGAAAGUUUGAGUGGUCUAUUUUCCUUCUCUGAUUUCAGAAAUGUUCAUUUUUGUUUAUAGGUAAUUGCAAACAAGAUAAAGCGUUGCAAGACCGACUCACAUCCUGGGUUUGGAACAUAAAACCUUCUGAAAUUUAUUUGGUUGUAGUUGUCCCUUGAAUGCAUUUCCUUGUGUGAUCAACACCAGCAACUGGACUUUGGCUUGUUUCAGUUUUUAAUUCUUGUUAGAAGCCUGAAUUUGUUUCUGUUUUUUUUCCUAUGUUCCUGAUUGAUGUCCCUGUAGAUGAAUUUGCAUAGGCCAUUCUAUGGCAGACUAGGGAUCUACCGUUUACAACAAGCCUUUUUUGUUGUAUGGUAGUGGGCAAGGUCAAGGUCCUUGGUGCAUACCGUUACUGAUGAUUUUUUGUGCCUAUUAAAGAGUUUAGAAUUCCUGUUAGUUGUAAAGUAUCUUCCAUACUUGUUUAGAAAGAGAUAACAGAUCUAAGUGCUUCAUAUGGGUAAUUAAACAUAAACCUUCAAUCGCGAUUUGACAAACCAGGUGGAGCAGUACAUAUCACCUGGUGCAUACUGGUCCGCCUGUGGACCAACAUAGGAUUUUGGAUGGUCCACUUGCGCACAAGGUUUACUAUUUAGUAAGCUUGGUGAAUCAUGCGUACUGUCUGGUCCAGACCUGGUAAUGAGCUUGGACCAGGUGGUAUGUCUUUUUACCUAAUAAAAAACCUAAAAAUAAUCCUCUCUCUCAUGUACUCAUGCAUGUAUCCUUUGUAGCCUUACCGCCUUCUAACCCAUGUCUGUCAUCAGCCACUGUCACCGCAGCCCCCACUUCUACCGAAUCAGUACUUCUCUUCCACCUCUGCCACCUCCUCCUCUUCUUCUCCACCAAAAAAAAAAAAAAAAUCCUUCUAUGUACCAUGAUAUCCAUUGUACUUGGUAUCAAUUUUCUGAAACAAACAGAACCUAUCUUUUUAACAAUCUUAAAUAUCUAAUCUGCUUUGUCCAUAGAUUAAGAUUGAAUUAUAUAUAUCGAGUCAACAAUAAACAUUCUAUAAAGUUUCUCCAACCAAAGUUGUCUUGCCAGAUGCUAAUCUCUGAUUCUGUUUGCAGACACAUUCCUUGGUUUAGGACUGACUACCAAUCCCAGACAAAAUGCUAAAAAUUCCUUCAAAAUAGUAAGAUACUCGGGGCUUCUUAUUGACCAGAAGAAAUUAUUGGAUUGGUAGGUAGAGGAUGGGCCUCUUAAUGCAGAAGUCUGUUUUCUCAGAACCUUUUUUAGUACGGCUUCUGGCAGAGGCUGUUUUGGCAACAAACUAGGAUCAUCAUACAUUCGAGGUCUAUUCCAGUCAUUCAGUUGAAGUUUGUUGUUCAUUGACAACUAGAUCCUUGAUAAUUGCCUACAUUCUUCAGUUGCUGAAUCUUUCACAAUUAUGUCUUCCAUCUUACAAUAGAUGAAGCUGUCUAAUGAAUGCUCAAAGUCCAAUACUUACACUGCUUUAAUACUUUUGAUACUGGGAAUAUGUUACAUUUAUAUAUUUGCCUCAUGAUGGAUGAUCAUGUUUGUAUAAUGACUUAAUGCUAUGCUCGAUAUAGAUCCUUCUACUUAUCCCAAUUAAUAAUCUGAGACAAAUUUAAUUGGUCUUACCAACUUCCAGAUUGGAAUUUGAUAAUCCAGAAAGACCUGAAUGCAAUAAUCUUCUAUCCAUCUAUCAGAUUAUUACUGGGAGGACGAAAGAGGUAAAUUGUCAUAUAUGUAUAUGGUAGAGCUACCUGAAUCUUAUAUUUAAUGUGCAUAUUCUGUUCUCUUAUUGCCAUAUGUAUGGAAGUUUAGUGUUUGUGAGAAAUUUUCAUGAAACGUAUUGGCAAUUUUUCCAUAUUUACAGGAAGUUGAACAUGAAUGCCGAGAUAUGAACUGGGGAACAUUCAAAGCAACCCUCGCAGAUGCUCUAAUUGAUCAUCUACUCCCAAUUCAGGUUACAUUUGGAUAUCAUUACACAAUUGUUUGGUACGACAUUGCAUACAUAUCCAGUUAUAUACGAUAUUGUGCUGUCACAAUACUUAUAAAAGGUUCUCGUGCGUGAAAAUGAUUUCUGAUAGUGAAUAAGUCCUGAUGCACAAAUGCUUUCUUUCACGUGAAUGAUUCAUUUUUGCAUUGAGUAGAAAAUAUGAGCUCGAACGCAACUACUGAUUGUGGUUCUCUUCCCAGGCUCGGUACUCGGAGAUCACCUCUGAUCCAGCAUAUCUGGAUCAGAUUUUGUCAGAGGGGGCUAGAAAAGCCGCCGAUAUAGCAGAAACCACUCUCAAUAAUGUCUAUCAAGCUAUGGGGUUCCUGCAGAGAUAGUUUUGUUCCAAGAUAACUUCAGUAGCUUCGGAUGCAUUUGAAGGGGAACCGUCAAGUUAAAUUGUGACUGUGCUUUGAAUUCUCCAGGCAAUUCACUGCAUAAGUGCUGAGUUAUCCUCUCAUUCUUCGAACAAAGAGCAGCAUUCAUGAUUAGUCCACAGCAGAUGACAAAAUUCUUGUGUACUGAUAAUCAUAGUUUUGUGUUUGACUUGAUGCAGCAGUAAUUUAUAAGUAAAAUUAUCAAAAUUUAAGGGUCAUUCCAUAAAUUAUUUGGUAGAAAGGCACUUGUGAUUUUUAACCUAGAAAAGCUGUAUCCUCGGAAUUAGCUGGAAAUAUGUAUUGGUACUUGCAAUUCUGUAAUUGAACCCUUUGCCUCAGUUUAUUAAUUGUAAACUGGAUAUUUUGUUUUACAAUUUGCGGACAUUGCAAUGGUGCUUUCAUUUUGGAUAUCCCAACUUUUAUCAGUAUGUGCAGUAAAUAUUGACGAGAAUUUUAUCCCGAUCGAAAAUCUCUUCCUGUGCGCCAGCAUGGUGGGUAGAAGAUUUUUUUUUCCUUUAUUUUUUUCAGCUUUGAGCAGUGGAAAAAUAAAUAAAAACGGAUGAAAACAAGAAACUUAGAUGCAACAAAAGUUGAUGUUCAAAAAUCAUAUCCAAUAAAUUUUUGCACAUAUAUUGCAUGUAAAAAAAGUUGGGGGUGGGUUCAAAGUCUUAUUCGGUAAUUGAAAAAUAAUAAGAAUUUUUAUUAUUUAUUUGAGUUAAUCUAAAACAUAAGGAGAGGAAAAUUUUGGAGUUAUUCCAACCCUCAAAUCCUAACAUGGCCAACAAGUUCGAUACCUAUCAUUUGACAAAGAUGGAUCAACAAGAUGUCUUCUCUUGUACUUCCUCAUCCACUUUUAGAGAUGCUGCCCUCGAUGAUCUAGCUAGAAAAAGCAAGGCAGGAAGACAGGAAUAGUUUGUGGCGAAAACGAAGGUGACCAACUUUUAUGAAGACGUGAGAUGCCAUGUGCAAAUACACUUAUGUUCGGAUAACGUCUAAAAGGAUUAGGAUUAUGUGUGAACCUAUAGAGUAGCCUGUUGCCCUUGUUUUAAUUGACUACUAAUGGGUGGGUGGGUUUCAUAUUUCAAUAGGUAAAUAUUUAACUUUCAUUUCAUUUUCAUGAGAAUUUCUUAAAUUCACAUUGAAAUAAUAUAUAUAUCAUUUUUAUUUUAAAUAAUAUAUUUUUCUAGUUACAAAAAUAUUUUUUGUAAUUCUAAAUACAAUUGAAGUAAUAUUAUAAUUGUAGAAUUAUUCUUAGUUAAAAGUUUACUAGUUGGCGAUCAUUGUUUUUAUUGUAACACUUAAUGUUGUCGCUGUAAUAGUAGCAUUCUUCACGCAAUUAUCUUAUUGUUAUUGUCAUCAUCAUGGAUAUCCAUGGAUAGUUAUUUCAUUGAAUAUCUUCUUCGUGUCACUAUCAUUAUCAUUAUUUGGUGGGCGACGGUAGUUUUCAUCAUCGAUGUCAUCACUAUCGAUAUUGUUAUUACGCCCACUAUCAAACAUGUUAUUGUACUUAUUUCACAAAAGAAAUAAUAACUUAAAAAUAGAGAUAAAAAUAAAUAUGAAGGUUACAACACUAUUUUCCUUGGGAGUAAACACAGCCCAAAAUUUGUUGCUUUGAUGACACCACCAUUAUUAUCAUUGCUAUCUAUGGUAAGAUCCUAGUAUUAUUUGUCAUCGUUAUCAUCAUCUCUAUCAUCAUCGUCGUUACCAUCUCUACUAUUAUUUCAUCAAAAAUAAUAACUUGAAAUUAGAGAUAAAUAAACAAAUAUGAAAAAUAUAAAAGUGGUUUCCGAGAACUAACCAUUCAUGUGCCAAUUUGCUGAUGCUGCUGCUGCUGCUGCUGCUGCUGAUGAUGAUGAUGAUGAUGAUGAUAUCGAUGCUUCUGGUCCUGAGGACGAGACGGAUGAAGGUUACACGCCCCUCGUGACAAGUUACAAUUUAUGGCGCACACAGGCAUUUUGUCAAACAGUUGGGGGACCAGAGCAGAUCGACCACCACACGGAGAGUGAGCCUUGACCAUAGACUUUGCGAGGCACUCCCGUGGCCUAAGCACGCGAGGGUGGACCGCCUCGGGCGCCCACCGCCCCCUACAGCCCGCCCGCCCUCCCUCCCUCCCGAUGCAUUGAAUCGAGUGCUUUUCCGGAGCUCCUCUUCAGUUCCCUCCAUCGAGCCACCAGCUUUUUCCACAGGAACUGUGAUCAUGAUGCCUGCCACAGCCAUCUCCUCCUCCUCCUCUUGUGAGGUCCCCAACUACUGCUGUCACAUUUCCCUUGUGUUGUGCUGCGUGACAUUAGGCUUAGCUCAUAGCCUACAUUAGUAUCACUCACUCUGCAGGCUUCAUUCAUUUUCAGAAAAUAUUUUCAUGUAUUUGGUAAUGUCACAGUACUACCAACACAGAGAGAGAGAGAGAGAGAGAGAAAGAGAGAGAUUCGGUGAUGAUUGUGUGCAUCUUUCCAGCUUCCAUGGACUGUUGAUCCGCCUACAAAACCUCAUGAUCACAAAAUUCAGAAUUAUGAUCUGUUUUCUCUUUGCUACUGUUUUCUUACAUUAUUUGAGAGCAUGGAUGGAUAUGAUUUCGUGUAGGAUCAGAUAAAAGUUGUAUUAAUGCCAAUAGUUUAGAUCCAUGAAAUAAAUAAAUGUUUUUGUCAUUGGAUCAGAACAUGAUUAAUUGGUAAUCAGAACUAAUUCAAUAUUAAACAGGAAAAGUUAUGAACAAAGCUAGAAGCACAUUAAAAGUAUGUAUAAUAAAGUCACCACCAAAUUGAAUCUCAUCUCAUGUAUGAUUGAUUAAGUAUAAUUUUGGAUUAUGAGUUAAAAACCUAAGCUUCUAAGUGGGAAAGACUGUUGAAUGACUAGAUAAUAAUGUUGGUAAUAAUUUUUUUAUAAUGAAAAGAAAAUUACGAAAAUUAAAAAAUUAAAAAAAAGAGAGGAUACUUUCAUUAUGGAGAUGGAAAAGGAUUGACAUGAACAAAUGGAUGGAUGGAAUUCUAGGAAGAACCUGAUCGAUUAAUCCAUAAAAGAUGUUAGAGAAGAGCACCCAACAAAAAUUCUUGAAAGAAAUAAUCACAAUACCAAGUUUAAGUUGGCCAAAAAGAGAGGAAGAAGAAGAG